UCCAUUUACAGAGUCACUUCAUCCUUAAUCUCACAUCAGAACCACCUUCACAUAUUGUUCUCUUUGGUUCACAUGUCCCAGAUUAAAAUGACAUUGCUUCUUUUAUCGUAUAUAGCAUGCUAUACUAUAUCUUGCUAUUUCAAAGGUCUAGAACGAGCAUCAGUGGAACAAAUCCACCUUGCAUAGCGUAAGAUUCCUAAUGCUUGAAUAAAAAUAAAAUAAAAUUGGAAGAUGAUUUUUCCAGAUGGGAUGAAUUUGAUCGAAAUUCUGCCCUCGGUCAAAUUUGACAGGUAGAUUUUGUCAAGAAUCCAAUAUGGCUAGGGAAUCUUGUGAAGAAAGUAUAGCAGUGUAUCAAAAACACCUUAAUUACUUACCAUGAAAAGAAUUGUUGAGGGACUGAGAUAACGAAAGUUGAAGGGUUUCCUAAAGAGUACAUAUGGCUUAUUUGAAGCAGCUGUUCUCCCAUUUGAGCAUCCUCACGGAUAAAAUGAAAUCAAAAGUAUCAGCGUAGGUUUAUAAACAUAACCAUAUAGAUGUCAAAUGAGGAAGGAAAUCAUUCUUCAAAGUCAAUACUUCUAGAAAACUAUCACUCAAUUGCUAGGGAUAAUAGGUUAUCCAAGAUCGAUAACCUUACUUGAUGGCUAUGACAUCCGAUGAACUUCGAAGGCAUUCUGAUGACUGUUGGCAUUAUCAAGAGAGUGAUUUCUCCGAAGCAUCAUCGUGUCAUGCUCCUUCAUUAGCUUCCCCGUUCCUUGAAUCACGUAAGAGAACAAAAACAAUACACUGUUGUCAUGGAAAAUUUUUAAAUUUGACCUAAUUAUUUUAUGUAAUUUAUUCGGUGAUUAAAUAUCAAACCUCCUCAUUCGUACAUUGCUAAUAUCAAAUGGUUAAUACAUUAACUGCAGAAAAUUUCUUGUCGUUGAAAUAUUUAAUAGUGACAGAAAUUCGUAACUUACUAAUUUAUUGACAUAUUUGUAGAUCUAUUGACAGGCUGCACUAGUACAAUUUAAAAAACAAAAAUUGAUCACUAACUAAUCUAAGGGUCGUUGGUAAAAUCAUUUUCAAGCUGAUAUUUUACUAAUCGCACCUAUAAAAUUUGGAAAAGGUCGUUAAUUUACCGAUUGAUUUAAUCUUCGGGAAAUCCUUCUGCUUUUCCUUGUAAAUUUGUUAUUAACUCCUCCCACGACCCAGAGCACGAUACCCUUGAAGCAUAGUGUCAACUGCCACGACCAGCUCCCCAUUCCUUGAACUACUUAAAAAGUAGAAUAGCAGGCUAUCAAGAAAAAUGGUGUUAUAGAGUAGGAAAGGCUGAUGAAAUUUGGCAAUGCAGCUCGACCAUGAACAGUGUGACUUGCUCUAUUUACCUUUCAAAGCCAAAACGUGAAUUGUUCCUGAAAUUGAGGCCGUACUGCUCGACUCAUCGGAGUAUUCUUCUCAUAGACCAAUUGUUUCUCUCUGCUGCAGUAGUGCAAUGAACGUAUAAAAUUCCGAUAAGUUGCAUUGCUGAACGCCUUUUAGAGUUUAGACGCCUCAAUUCCUGGAGCUAUGUGAUCUCCACAAGUUCAUGCGAGAUUGACCCCCAUCAUUUCAUUAAAUCUUCGAAUUUCAACAGAUGUGGACGAACUUUUGCAACUUUGUCAAGUCUCUGAAUAUCACUUAGCUUCGAGCACCCUUUAAUGUUCAGAGGGCGAACUUCUAAAGGAAGCAAAUGUUAUUUCUUCAAGGAUGUCGUCGACAUCCUCUCUCUUGUCAUGGAAGCUGCUUUGCUUGCCGGAAGAUACCUCCACAAGCCCCGAAUCUCUGUCCUCGUUCAAUGGAUAUAUCAACUCAGAUCCCUUCAUCUCACUUCAUGAUCGGCCCUUUCUUCUUUGACUAUUUUUCUUCCAGCUGUCUGUCUGUUCUCUGUUGCAACAAGAGGGAAAAAGAAAAGAGAGUAAUGUAAAGUGCCUCUGUUUUCCUUUCCAGUAGAAUUGGAAGAGUAAUGGAAACUGACAAUGGACUUCAAUUAUAACUGCAGAAGCAAGAACAUAAAGCGGCCGCAGAGUUCAAAACCCAAGAUCCGUGUACAAAUUUAGAAUGACAAAUAAUGCGAAUCAAACAUACUAUUCUAUACUUCAAUGCUUAAUUAUCUAAUGUGAACAAUAUCAUGGUCAGGGGGAAUGAACUUGAUUUUACCUUGAGGGCCACCAAAAGAGACAUUUGAAUCGUUGACAAACAGCUUUUUGGCAUCUCGUCAGUAGUUGUCCUUGCUAUAAAAAUACAUUCUCUUUGGAAGAAAAGAAUUUCGGAUGGAAAUCCUGAGAGUCGCACAUGCAUCCUCCGUUUCUGAUGUCAUGAUGUUCAAUCUUUGGGGUUAGGAAUCACAUAAUUAUGGUCGAUAUUUUCCUCCAGUUCAUAAGGAAAUUGUUUGUCAAGUGUUAAUCCUUCUAAAUCAGAGUUGGAAGGAUGUAAUUCCAAAGUCUCAAGCUGCCUGCACUGUCAAGAACAAUAAUUAUAAAUUGCAACCUUCAUAAACUGCAUCAAUUGAAAUAGUUGUUUUAAAAAUCGAAAAUCUAUCCCUAAGAAAGGCAUUAACAGCUCCUGCAAAUUGACGCAACAUCAUGAGCUCAAUUUGUUAUCCACUAUAUCGAUUACUACCAAAUCAUGCCGCAAGGUUUCAUUGAGGAAUCUUCAUCUUUUAGAGUAGUCUUGACAACAAAACUCUCACAAAGCAACAACAAUGUCCAGCUGUGCUUCAUUCCGGUGCCAAAACAAACACUCCAUUUACACAGUCACUUCAUCCUUAAUCUCACAUCAGAACCACCUCCACAUAUGGUUCUCUUUGGUUUGCAUGUCCCAGAUUAAAAUCACAUCGUUUCUUUCAUCUAUGUAGCAUGCUAUAGUAUAUCUUGCUAUUUUGAAGGUCCUGAAUGAGCUUCGGUGGAAAAAUCCACAUUACAUGACGUAAAAAUUCUAACGCUUGAAUGAAUAAUACAUAAAAUCUGAAGCUGAUUUUUCCAGACGGGAUGAAUUUGAUUGAUAUUUUGCCCAGUUAAGUUCGACAUGUAAAUCUCAUCAAGAAUCCAAAAUGGUCAGGAAAUCUUGUGAAGAAAAUAUAGUAGUGCAUCAGAAACAUGUUAAUGACUUACCACGAAAAGAAUUCUUAAGGGGCUGAGGCAACUGAAGUUGAGGGGUUUCUUGGAAAAGGCACAUGGCUUAGUUGAAGCAAAUGUUCUUCCAUUUGAGCAUCCUCAUGGAUAAAAUUAAAUCUAAAGUAUCUGUGCAGGCGAAUAAAAAUAACCACAUAGAUGUCGAGGUAGGAAGCAAAUCAUUUUUCGAAGUCAGUAAUUUCAGAAAACUAUAACUUAGAUUUGCUUGUGAUAGUCAUUAAUAGCUUAUCUGGGACGAGCAAUCUUACUUGAUGGCUAUGACAUUUGAUGUGCUUCGAUGGCAUUCUCAUGACUGUUGGAAUUAUCAAGAGAGUGAUUUCUCCGAAGCAUCAUGUCAUACUCCUCCAUCAGCUUCCCGUUCCUGGAAUCACGUAAGCCCGUAUCAUGAAAAAUGAUUAAAUUUCGAUCUAAUAAUUUUAUGUAAAGGGAAAAGAGACAUAAAGACAAUGAUCCAUCUUUUUAUUAGGUGAUUAAAUAUCAGACCUCCUCCGUACGUUGCUAAUAUCAAAUGGUUAAUACAUAAAAUAAAGAAAAUUUUUAGUCGGCUAAAAUAUUUUAUAAAUGGCAGAAAUUUGUAACAUACUAAUUUAUUGACAUAAUUGUAGAUUUGUUGACGGGCUACACUAGUCAAAUUUGACAAAGAAAUGGCCACUCACUAAUUUAAGGAGACGUUGGUUAAAUCAUUUUACGGUUGGUAUUUUACUGACCGCACUAAAAUUUUAAAGAGUUCAGUAAUAAACUGGUUUAUUAAAACCUUGGAAAAUCCUUCUACUUUUCCUUGUGAAUGUAUUAUUGACUCAUCCCAUGAUCCACAGGACGAUACCCCUGAAGCAUCGUGUCAACUUCCCCGAACAGCUCUCCAUUCCUUGAAGUACUUAAAAGACGAAAGUAUACCAGCGGGCUAUCAAGAAAAAUGGCGUUACCAAGUAGGAAAUGCUGAUGAAAUUUGGCAAUGUAUCUCGACAGUGAACAGUUUGACCUGCCUUAUUUACCUUUCAAAGCAAAACGUGAAUCGUUCCAGACAUUGUGGCCAAAGCGCUCAACUCAGCGGAGCAUUUUCUCAUGGACCAAUUGUUUCUCUCUGCUGCAGUAGUGCAAUGAACGUAUAGAAUUCCAAUAGGUUGUAUUGCUGAAUGUUUUUCAGAGUUUAGACGCCUCGAUUCUUGGAGCUUUGUGAUCUCCAUAAGUUCAUGCGAGAUCGACCCCCAUCAUUUCAUUAAAUCUUCAAAAUUCGACAGACGUGGACAAUUUGCUGAUGCUUAGAGGUGAAUCCGUCAUAUGCGCACAUUUGCGACUUUCUGUUGGAAUUGUUCAGCUGCUGUUUUCUGUCAUAUGUUCCUCUGUUUUACUCUGUUUUUUUUUUUAUUAUUAAAAAACAGCCAAGUUCAUUUAGUUAUGCAUUUAGUGUUUUUGCUAUUUUCUAGGAAGUUAAUGGCACGUUUGUGUGCAGUUAUGUGUUGCACGUACGUGAGCAGUUUCUGCUUUGUAUUUAGUGGUUGUACUCGACAGUUUUUUUUUUCUUUAAGCACAAGACGUAUGAAGUGCUAUGCUCUGUUUUUUUUUUUAUUAUCUUUUCUCUCUCUCAAACAACAUAAUUUUUUUUGUUUUGAUUGUUGUUUUUAUGAGCUUUAACAUUGGUAUCAGAGCUUUUGUGGGAUCUUAAGGGAUUGUGAAGUGAGGGUAAGUGAGUGAAAAUUGCUUCCAAUCUGCAAAGAAAAAGCUGAUGGAGGAAGGACCGAGUGGAUUCUCUGCAAUGGCUGCUCCAGUCUUUACUGGGGAAAAUUAUCAAGCUUGGGCUGUCAAGAUGACGGCAUUCUUGGAGGGUCAUGAUUUAUGGGAGGCUGUGGAGAAUGAUUAUGAGGUUGUUCCACUUCCAGACAAACCUUGAAUCGGAUAAAGUAUCAUAAAGAGAGAAUCACAAGGAAGGCUAAGGCAAAGUCUUCCCUGUAUGCUGCUGUUUCACCUACUAUCUUCACAGGGAUCAUGAGAUGUGAUUAUGCAAAGGCAAUAUGGGAUUUCUUGAAGGAUGAAUACGAGGGAGAUGAGAAGAUAAGAGGCAUGAAGGUGCUGAAUCUCUCGAGGGAGUUUGAGAGACAGCAGAUGAAGGAUUCAGAGUCAGUGAAGGAGUACUUUGAUAGGCUGGUUGGGAUAGCUGAAAAAAUCAGAGUUUUAGGGACUGACUUGAAGGAUGAAAGGUUUGUUCAGAAGAUCCUGGUGUCUCUUCUAGAGAAGUUCGAAGCCACCAUAGCUUCUCUGGAAAAUACAAGAGACUUAGCUGAUAUAAAGCUUGCAGAAUUGUUAAAUGCUCUGCAGGCACAGGAGCAUAGAAGAUUGAUGAGAAGAGAAGAGUUUGUAAAGGGUGCGCUGCAAGCUAAAGUGAAGUCAAAUGAUGGAGGCAAAGGGAAGAAAUGGAUUCAGUCCAGAGAAAAUGCUGGUGACUCCAAGUUUGUAGCAAAGGAAGGAAAUUCUUGUGGGUCUAGCAAAUGGAAGAUGAACAAAAAGCCUUGUCAAUACUGUGGUGGAACUAAUCAUCAGUUUUUUAGAUGUUGGAGAAAGCCUGAUGCUAGAUGCAGAAGAUGUCACAAGUUGGGUCACAUGGAAGCCAUCUGCAAAGAAAAAAAUUACCAGCAAGCAGGAAAAGCACAGGUAGCAGUGAAUGAAACUAAGGAAGAGCACUUGUUUGUAGCUUCUUUUUCUGAAUUUUCUGUUGGGAAUGAUGCAUGGCUGGUGGAUAGUGGCUAUACCAAUCAUAUGAUUGGCAAUUCGAAGCUGUUUAGGAGUUUAGACAGGUCAGUCAGGUCCAGAGUCAGAAUUGGCAACGGACAGUAUAUCGAAGUACAAGGGAAGGGUACAGUGGCUAUUGAAGGAAAUCAGGAGGUGAAGCUGAUGAGUGAUGUUCUUUUUGUGCCAAACAUUGACUAGAAUCUGUUAAGUGUUGGUCAAUUAGUUGAGAAGGGCUAUAAAGUGAAGUUCGAAGGGAAGGAAUGUCUUAUUAAUAAUGCAGAUAGCAAAGAAGUGCUAAGAAUCCCAAUGAGGGACAAGAGUUUCAUGUUCAAGCCACAAGAGAUGCAACAAAUGGCUUUAAAGUGCAAAGAAGAAAAUGCAGAGCUAUGGCAUAAAGACUUGGGCAUGUUCACAGAAGAGCAUGUCGUUAUGCAGAGAAUAGCUGGCAGAUGACUUGCCAAGUUUGGANNNNNNNNNNNNNNNNNNNNNNNNNNNNNNNNNNNNNNNNNNNNNNNNNNNNNNNNNNNNNNNNNNNNNNNNNNNNNNNNNNNNNNNNNNNNNNNNNNNNNNNNNNNNNNNNNNNNNNNNNNNNNNNNNNNNNNNNNNNNNNNNNNNNNNNNNNNNNNNNNNNNNNNNNNNNNNNNNNNNNNNNNNNNNNNNNNNNNNNNNNNNNNNNNNNNNNNNNNNNNNNNNNNNNNNNNNNNNNNNNNNNNNNNNNNNNNNNNNNNNNNNNNNNNNNNNNNNNNNNNNNNNNNNNNNNNNNNNNNNNNNNNNNNNNNNNNNNNNNNNNNNNNNNNNNNNNNNNNNNNNNNNNNNNNNNNNNNNNNNNNNNNNNNNNNNNNNNNNNNNNNNNNNNNNNNNNNNNNNNNNNNNNNNNNNNNNNNNNNNNNNNNNNNNNNNNNNNNNNNNNNNNNNNNNNNNNNNNNNNNNNNNNNNNNNNNNNNNNNNNNNNNNNNNNNNNNNNNNNNNNNNNNNNNNNNNNNNNNNNNNNNNNNNNNNNNNNNNNNNNNNNNNNNNNNNNNNNNNNNNNNNNNNNNNNNNNNNNNNNNNNNNNNNNNNNNNNNNNNNNNNNNNNNNNNNNNNNNNNNNNNNNNNNNNNNNNNNNNNNNNNNNNNNNNNNNNNNNNNNNNNNNNNNNNNNNNNNNNNNNNNNNNNNNNNNNNNNNNNNNNNNNNNNNNNNNNNNNNNNNNNNNNNNNNNNNNNNNNNNNNNNNNNNNNNNNNNNNNNNNNNNNNNNNNNNNNNNNNNNNNNNNNNNNNNNNNNNNNNNNNNNNNNNNNNNNNNNNNNNNNNNNNNNNNNNNNNNNNNNNNNNNNNNNNNNNNNNNNNNNNNNNNNNNNNNNNNNNNNNNNNNNNNNNNNNNNNNNNNNNNNNNNNNNNNNNNGAGUUCUGGGCUGAAGCAGCUAAUACUACAGUGUUCCUAUUGAACAGAUUGCCCACAAAGGCCUUAGAGAGGUCAACACAUUUUGAAGUCUGGUAUGGUGUUAAACCUUCUGUGAAAACUUUGAAGGUUUUUGGGUGUUUGUGUUACACUCAUGUUCCUGAGGUUAAGAGGGACAAGCUGGAUAAGUGUUAGGGAAAUCCCUUAUGAUGUUUUGAAGAUGACAAAAUAAAUCAAAGGCUACUAACAUGUUUGAUGGUUGAGUAAUAGACCAUGCAGAUAAUAGAACAUGUAAAGGAUAUUAUCAAAGUCUGAAGACUGCCAGACUCGAGACUCAAAGUCUGAAGACUGCUAGACUCGAGACUCAAAGUCUGAAGACUGCUAGACUCGAGACUCAAAGUCUGAAGACUGCCAGACUUUAGUGUCAAAGUCUGUUAUACAUCAUAAGUCUGUUCACUCUGACAAAUUCCAGAUUGAACGUGAAUGAUGAACCAGAAGACAGACUCUAUGCUGAAGCUGAACCAGAAGACAGACUCUAUGCUGAAGUUUAACUGGGUACAGACUCAGAUUGUAAAGUCUACAGACCCAGAUUGUAAAGUCUCAAGACUCAUAUCGUAAAGUCUACAGACUCAGACUUUACAUCCAGAUUCGAUGAAUCGUAACUCAAGCCCAAUCAUACAACGGCUAGUGAUCUGGUUUGGAUUCCACAUCAAGAUUGAUUUGAUUGAAGACAAGAUCUUUCUAUACGAAGAAGCUUUACUUAUGGAAACCAAGAUUUCGUUUGUAUGGGCGAUCGGAAUCAAUUUGGGAUUUUACCUUUGUCACUCAACGGCUACCAAAUCUUCUAAGAUACAGAGCUGUCCAAUGGGUAUAUUGGAAGACGAUUCUCCGGGAUGCUGUCCAACGGGUAGUUUGGAAGUGGAGGAGUAUUUAAGGAGAUCAUGGACCGAUGAGCAAGUAAGAGACGGAGCGUAGAAUUUAUAAUUCCAAAGUCUGAGUGACUUUAGAUCAUAUACUUGUCUCUUGAGAGCUUAAACGUUUGUAAUCGUGAGAGAAAUACCAAGAGAGUGACUUAGUGAGAUAGUGUGAUCUACUACUAAGUGUUUGCACUCGGAGUUGUAAUCUCUUGUUGAUUGCAUAGUGGAAUCCAGCCAAGAAGGCUGUUAUCGUGGGAGAGUGGACGUAGGCUUGGAUUAAGCCGAACCACUAUAAAUCUUUGUGUUCUUAUUCUCUUCCUUAACUCCUUUAUUUUGUUCAUACUAGCACUCUCAAUUGGUAUCAGAGCCCGUGUUCUUACUUUAUUUGAAGUGUUUUACUUCAGAGUAAAAGAUCCAUGGCUAGUAUGCUAGCACCAGGACUUAUGGAAGGGCAAAGCAAAACAAGGCCACCAUAUUUUGAUGGAAAUGAAUACGACGUGUGGAAGAACAAAAUGAAAGCAUUCCUAAGAUCCAGAGAUCUCUUACAAUGGGAUGUUGUGGAAAGAGGAAUCAACCCCACCGCUCCUAUGUCUCGGACGGAGUUGUCCAAAAGAGAAGCGCUUGAUGCGAAAGCAAUUUAUUCUUUAUAUUGCGCUUUGUCUCCUACUGAAUAUAACAGAAUAUCUUCAUGUGAAACAUCAAAAGAAGUUUGGGAUAAACUUCAUGUUACAUAUGAAGGGACCGAUCGUGUAAAAGAGACAAAAGUAAACUUCUUGCUCGGCAAAUAUGAAUCCUUCAAGAUGAAGCAAGGAGAGUCAAUUGGAGAUAUGUUUAAUCGUUUUACAGAAAUUGUAAACGGUUUGGCAUGUCAAGGUCAUCCUAUUUCUUCCCCAAUGAAGGUCAACAAACUCUUGCAAGGUCUCUCAAAAGAUUGGAACCAUGUCAAGACCUCAAUCCGGGAGACUCAAAGGAUUAUGCCACUCACCGUUGAUGAAUUAAUCGGCACUCUUCAAUCCUAUGAAGUGGAGCAACUCAACGAUGAAGAUCCUGAAGGUAAGAAGUCCAUUGCUUUAAUAUCUAAUGCUGUUUUUGAUGAAACAGACUCAGAAAAUGACAUGGACGAUGAAGAAUUUGCCUUUAUGGUCGAGAAAUUCAAAAAGCUGAGUAGAAAAGAAAGGAAAUUCAGUGGAAGAAGUCAAUACAAGCAUAAUGGCCAGAAAAGAAUCAUGAAAGAAGAUGAUGAGCAAAGAAAUCUAUGCUUGAUGGCACAUUCAGAAUCUGAGUCUAACUCAGACACAGACGCAGAAACAGAGUCUCAUUCAGAACCAGACUCAGAAUCCGAUGAGGAAAUCAAGGGGAGAAAUCGAAUCCAAAAGAAAAGGAAAAGAAUCGUGAUCACCUAAAAAAUGCAACAAAUUGAGGGGGAGCUUUGAUCAAUUAUGGAAAAAUCUCUUUUGAUUGAUCGUGAUCUUAUUAUGGAUGGAAGGAAAGGUAAUUGUGUCAGAAUUUAUUCUACAAAAUCCGGUUAGUGCAUCUCUUAUUACCUUUUGUCAUUAACAAAUCUCAUAUUGAUAUUAUCAUUUUAUUAUGACAAAAAUGGUACGUGAAUUUUAUGAUGCAUCCGUGAUUUUUAUUGGAUAUUUACUGAUAUGAUCGAAGUGAGCUAUAUUGCAUAUCUUUAAUAUUCGAUAAAAGCUGAUUUUUGGAAAUUGUGAUUCAUGCAAGAUAUUUAUUAUCAUUCUCUACGUGAAUCCAUUAUCACUUUUUGAUUAUGAAAAAAAGGGGGAGAAGAUAUGAAUAUGCAUAUGUGCUGAUUGGUUGAUAUUAUUUAUUGCAUAAUAUUGAGCUGCGAUUAUUUUUCUAAAUAUUAUUAUGCUCAAUCUAUUUGUUAUCUUAUGAUAUCCUUUGAUUUAAAUUAAUAUUUUUAAAAGCAUGUUUACAAAUCUGCAUAUUCAGAGAUUGUUUUGUCAUCAUCAAAAAGGGGGAGAUUGUUAGGGAAAUCCCUUAUGAUGUUUUGAAGAUGACAAAAUAAAUCAAAGGCUACUAACAUGUUUGAUGGUUGAGUAAUAGACCAUGCAGAUAAUAGAACAUGUAAAGGAUAUUAUCAAAGUCUGAAGACUGCCAGACUCGAGACUCAAAGUCUGAAGACUGCUAGACUCGAGACUCAAAGUCUGAAGACUGCUAGACUCGAGACUCAAAGUCUGAAGACUGCUAGACUCGAGACUCAAAGUCUGAAGACUGCCAGACUUUAGUGUCAAAGUCUGUUCUACAUCAGAAGUCUGUUCACUCUGACAAAUUCCAGAUUGAACGUGAAUGAUGAACCAGAAGACAGACUCUAUGCUGAAGCUGAACCAGAAGACAGACUCUAUGCUGAAGUUUAACUGGGUACAGACUCAGAUUGUAAAGUCUACAGACCCAGAUUGUAAAGUCUCAAGACUCAUAUCGUAAAGUCUACAGACUCAGACUUUACAUCCAGAUUCGAUGAAUCGUAACUCAAGCCCAAUCAUACAACGGCUAGUGAUCUGGUUUGGAUUCCACAUCAAGAUUGAUUUGAUUGAAGACAAGAUCUUUCUAUACGAAGAAGCUUUACUUAUGGAAACCAAGAUUUCGUUUGUAUGGGCGAUCAGAAUCAAUUUGGGAUUUUACCUUUGUCACUCAACGGCUACCAAAUCUUCUAAGAUACAGAGCUGUCCAAUGGGUAUAUUGGAAGACAAUUCUCCGGGAUGCUGUCCAACGGGUAGUUUGGAAGUGGAGGAGUAUUUAAGGAGAUCAUGGACCGAUGAGCAAGUAAGAGACGGAGCGUAGAAUUUAUAAUUCCAAAGUCUAAGCGACUUUAGAUCAUAUACUUGUCUCUUGAGAGCUUAAACGUUUGUAAUCAUGAGAGAAAUACCAAGAGAGUGACUUAGUGAGAUAGUGUGAUCUACUACUAAGUGUUUGCACUCGGAGUUGUAAUCUCUUGUUGAUUGCAUAGUGGAAUCCAGCCAAGAAGGCUGUUAUCGUGGGAGAGUGGACGUAGGCUUGGAUUAAGCCGAACCACUAUAAAUCUUUGUGUUCUUAUUCUCUUCCUUAACUCCUUUAUUUUGUUCAUACUAGCACUCUCAAUAAGAAAGCAGAGCUUGGAAUCUUCAUUGGAUACAGUCUCCAAUCAAAAUCUUACAGAAUUUUUCACCCUAUGACAGGGAAGGUGACUGUAAGCAGAGAUGUUGUUUUUCUAGAGGAAGAUGAGUGGAAUUGGAUGGAAGGAAAGAGUGCAGAACAGCAACAGUUCGAAAAACAACCUGCAACAGAUGUAGAGGUUGAUGAAGUUAUAGAUGGAUUGGAAGAUAGUGUGGAUGAUUUACCAGUGAGAGGCACAAGGUCACUUGCCGAAAUCUAUGAAAGAAGCAAUGUGGCAAUGCUCGAACCAUCUAACUUUGUGGAAGCUAAGGAGGAUCAAAGGUGGAUUGCAGCAAUGCAGGAGGAGAUUGCAAUGAUCCAGAAAAACCACACAUGGGAGCUUGUUGACAGACCAUCUAAUAAGAAUGUGAUUGGGGUUAAGUGGGUGUUUAGAACAAAACUUAAUCCUAAUGGUUCUGUCAAUAAACACAAAGCAGACUGGUGGUGAAAGGCUAUGCACAAAUAUGGGGAGUAGACUAUUCUGAAACAUUUGCUCCUGUUGCACGACUUGAUACAAUAAGGUUACUGUUAGCUAUUGCAGCAGAGAAGGGGUGGCCUAUAUUUCAGUUAGAUGUCAAGUAUGCAUUUCUGAAUGGAGAGCUUGAGGAGGAGAUUUUUGUUGAACAACCUGAAGGCUUCAGUAUCAAAGGGCAAGAAGAGAGUGUAUAUAGGUUGAAGAAAGCUCUAUAUGGACUGAAGCAAGCUCCAAGAGCUUGGUAUGGGAAGAUAGAUCGAUAUUUGUAGGAUUUUGGCUUUGUAAAAAGCUUAAGUGAGUUCACUCUUUAUGUCAAGAAGGUGAAUCACAGUGUUGUAAUUCUGUCACUUUAUGUAGAUGAUCUAUUAGUGACGCGGAAUGAUAUGGAAUUGAUAGAAAAGGUGAAGCAAGAUCUAUUUGCAGUUUUUGAGAUGUCAGACUUGGGAAAGAUGGCUUAUUUUUUGGGUCUGGAAGUCAAACAGGCUUCAUAUGAGAUCUUCAUUUGUCAGAAAAAAUACAUGAAGGAAAUUCUAAAGAAAUUUCAGAUGGAAAAUUGUCAAAGUGUAAGCACUCCUAUGGUUGCUAAAGAGAAGCUGCAAAAGAAUGAUGGAACAAAUGUAGUAGAUGCUUCUAUGUAUAAGUCUGAUUGGGUGUCUCAUGUAUCUUACAGCAACCAGACCAGAUAUUCUAUUUGCUGUGAGUGUUUUAUCCAGGUUUAUGAGUAGUCCUAGUCAGUUACAUUUGAUUGCAGCAAAAAGGGUCUUGAGAUAUCUCAAAGGAACAUUGUUCUUUGGUGUGAAGUUUAAGAAAGGUCAGAAGUUUAAUUUGCAAGGAUUUUCUGAUAGUGAUUGGGCUGGUUCAGUAGAUGACAUGAAUAAUACGUCUGGAUAUUGUUUCAGUUUUGGUUCUACUUGUUUCUCCUGGUGUUCCAAAAAGCAAGAGAUUGUAGCUCAGUCCACAGCAGAGGCUGAGUUUAUAGCAGUUUCUGCAGUUGCAAAUCAAGCUUUGUGGUUGAAAAAGAUAAUGAAGGAUCUGUGGUUGAAUUCUAGUGAUUGCAUUGAAGUUAAUGUGGAUAAUCAGACUGCUUUAGCAAUAUCUUAGAAUCCAGUUUUCCAUGGCAAAAUCAAGCAUUUCAAAGUCAAAUUUUUCUUUCUGCGUGAGGUGCAACAAAGUGGCGAAGUUAAGUUGGUCUAUUGCAGAUCUGAAGAUCAGCUUGCAUAUAUGUUCACAAAACCACUUCAAGCUGGAAGAUUUGAGUUGUUAAGAGAGAAAAUAGGAAUUUGUAGCAGCAACUGAUCCAAGGAGGAGUUUGUUGGAAUUGUUCAGCUGCUGUUUUCUGUCAUGUUUUUCUCUGUUUUACUCUUUUUAUUUAUUUAUUAAAAAACAACCAAGUUCAUUUAGUUAUGCAUUUAGUGUUUUUGCUAUUUUCUAGGAAGUUAAUAGCACGUUUGUGUGCAGUUAUGUGUUGCACGUACGUGAGCAGUUUCUGCUUUGUAUUUAGUGGUUGUACUCGACAGUUUUUUUUUCUUUAAGCACAAGACAUAUGAAGUGCUAUGCUCUGUUUUUUUUUUUUUUUUUAAUCUUUUCUCUCUCUCAAACAACAUAAAUUUUUCUGUUUUGAUUGUUGUUUUUAUGAGCUUUAACACUUUCUCCAGCCCCUGAACAUCACAAAGCUCUGAGCACCCUCUAAUGUCCAAAUCUUUCAGGUUGCUGAAGCACGAGAGUUCUGGUAAUCUUUCAAUGGAUAUGCACCCCUUGAUAUUUAAUUUUUCCAGGUUUUUCAAUCUCUCAAGGCUUUUAAUUUCGACUAGAUUGCCACAUCGGCGAAUGCUUAAUCGCUUCAGAUGUGUUAAUUUUGACAAAUCCGGUCUUACAAGGGACUGACAGUCCCAUACCCUUAGCUUUUCCAAGUUUUUCAAUUUGUCAAGGCCUAGAACUUGAACUAGAUCAUCAUUCAAUAGUGGAGCAUCUAACUCAGAAAACCCAUUCACACCCAAGAAGCUAAAAAUGUUUAGACAUUCAAGGCUUCCGAAUAAUGACAGGCGCCACAAUUUCACGAAGGAUCCAAUGCUCUUUGGAAGUCUACAUAACUUGAAGCAAUCUCUCAAGUCAAGGAUCAACAAAUUUACCAGAUGUCUAAUUGAGUUGGGAAGUCUGGCCAAUAAUCUGCAACCACUAGCAUUAAGCACCUCCAGCUUCUUCAAAGAACCUAUGCAUGGAGGAAUUUCCUUUAUCUUAGUCUUGCCUAUAUGAAGUCCCUUCAGUUCUUCCAACUUGUCCAUUUCUUCAGGUAGCUCUUGGAGUUUCUCACAAUCUUGCAAGUACAAAAAAAUGAGGCUCUUGGCUUCUCCAAUAGACGGGUGAAUUUGCUCCAAAUUAAUACAUCCAUUGAGGAUUAAUAUCUCUAAAUUUCAAAGGGUGAAAGAUCAAGAGUAACUUUUAAACAGCAGCAAUAUGUAAGAUCUAGAACUUUCAACUCCUUCGCCACCUGCAAAACAAAAUGAUUUGAUAAAUUGUUGCAAAGAGUAAGUCAUUAGAAACAAAUGACAAAACAAAAUGGUCCCCGUCUAACCUUGAGGUGACUCCAACCUUCCCAGAGAUCUGAAAUGUUACUUCUUGAUAAAUCAAGUAAAACUAAUUUCUCCAUACCAAAACUAGUGGGUACGAAUGCAGGACAUCCCGUCCACGAAAGCCAUCGUAGCUUAGGAAGCAAGCUUUUGGAAUCUCCCAUCAGUUUUGCAUUAUGCACUGCAAGGAGCCUUAAGUUCGGUAGUGUCUCAAAUUGCUCAGUUGUAAAUGCAACCUGCGAGCAGUCUCCACUGAGAAGAAGGGCCUAAACUCAAACUUUCUCAACUCCCUCCACAAAUGUUGCAUCAAAUCAGCUCUUUUCAAGCAAAAAAAAAAAAAAAAAAAACACAAUGGAUAUAUUGAGUAAUGACUUAGAAUCUAUCGAUAUUAACACCAAGUGCACAAGUAGCCAACAAGCAGCACAGAGAUAAUUGUUUAAACCAAAAUGAUUUUUUUUUUCAACUCGAUAGGAAAUGUCUACCAUUUUAUAGAUGCUAAGCACGUCAUUUCCUAAUCACAUCAAGGAAAUGAUAAAAGGAGAGUAAUCUCGGCUGUGAAGAUUAACCAUUCAUUCCAAUCAAGAGAAUUCAUGUCAAAAGAGAGUAGAACAAUAAUAGAGGUAACAAUUACCUUAGUAUUUUGAAGUACUUCCAAGGCUUCCUCAUGGAUGCACAACCUACUGCGAUUCAUAGGCGCAACGUAAUCUUCUUGAUGAACAAUUUCCCUACCAAGAUUUCUCAGUUGGUCAUGCAUUUUCAACUCUCCUUCAUCUCCAAUUUUUAUUAGCGACAUAAAACUUAAUAUUUGAAUCCCCAUCCUUGGAAGAAAAUUGCAGGCAUCCCACAUGUAGGAUGCAAAUGUAAAAUUAGCUCCAACAAAGAAACAUGCAAUAUCCAAAAAUAUCUGCUUUUCCUCAUAGGUUAAUGCCUCAUAACUUAUCCUCAGCUUCUCUUGCACUUUCAUAUGUGGUACUUCCUUUAACUUCUUUAAUGUGUCUUCCCAAAAUGCUUGGUUUCAGCCACAUAAAAAUGAACCUAUAACCUCGAGAGCUAAGGGAAGCCCUCCAGUAGUGGAUACUACAGCAUGAGAGAGAGACUCAAAUUCACAUGGAGGAGAGUCCCUUAGAAAGGCAUGUCUACUAAACAAGAUCAAAGAUUCAUCCUUGGCAAUUUCCUUGAGUUCAUACGUGCAUCUCACCUUAGCUUCAUCAAGAACGGAUCUCAUUCUUGUCGUAAUGAUUAUCCUACUUCCCAUCUCAAACCAGUCAUGUUUCCCAACCAAAGCUUUGAGCUGAUCAUUGCGAUCCACAUCAUCUAGAAGAAGUAGGACUUUCUUACAUUAAUCUAGAUCCAUAAUCCNNNNNNNNNNNNNNNNNNNNNNNNNNNNNNNNNNNNNNNNNNNNNNNNNNNNNNNNNNNNNNNNNNNNNNNNNNNNNNNNNNNNNNNNNNNNNNNNNNNNNNNNNNNNNNNNNNNNNNNNNNNNNNNNNNNNNNNNNNNNNNNNNNNNNNNNNNNNNNNNNNNNNNNNNNNNNNNNNNNNNNNNNNNNNNNNNNNNNNNNNNNNNNNNNNNNNNNNNNNNNNNNNNNNNNNNNNNNNNNNNNNNNNNNNNNNNNNNNNNNNNNNNNNNNNNNNNNNNNNNNNNNNNNNNNNNNNNNNNNNNNNNNNNNNNNNNNNNNNNNNNNNNNNNNNNNNNNNNNNNNNNNNNNNNNNNNNNNNNNNNNNNNNNNNNNNNNNNNNNNNNNNNNNNNNNNNNNNNNNNNNNNNNNNNNNNNNNNNNNNNNNNNNNNNNNNNNNNNNNNNNNNNNNNNNNNNNNNNNNNNNNNNNNNNNNNNNNNNNNNNNNNNNNNNNNNNNNNNNNNNNNNNNNNNNNNNNNNNNNNNNNNNNNNNNNNNNNNNNNNNNNNNNNNNNNNNNNNNNNNNNNNNNNNNNNNNNNNNNNNNNNNNNNNNNNNNNNNNNNNNNNNNNNNNNNNNNNNNNNNNNNNNNNNNNNNNNNNNNNNNNNNNNNNNNNNNNNNNNNNNNNNNNNNNNNNNNNNNNNNNNNNNNNNNNNNNNNNNNNNNNNNNNNNNNNNNNNNNNNNNNNNNNNNNNNNNNNNNNNNNNNNNNNNNNNNNNNNNNNNNNNNNNNNNNNNNNNNNNNNNNNNNNNNNNNNNNNNNNNNNNNNNNNNNNNNNNNNNNNNNNNNNNNNNNNNNNNNNNNNNNNNNNNNNNNNNNNNNNNNNNNNNNNNNNNNNNNNNNNNNNNNNNNNNNNNNNNAAAAUAAAAGUACUGAAUUUUGAAUAAUGAUAAAUUUUGGUUGUUGUAGAAGAUCAUGGAUUUAUUUAAAUAAAUUGAUUAUAAUUUCUUAUUAGUCAUUAGUUUCAUCAAUAAAUUUUGUUAAAGUUAAAAACAUAUUUCCAAACAUGGAUACACAUUAAUUAUGAAUAUGUUUUCGAAUUUCCAAUGAAUUGAUUUAUUAAUAUUAUUAGUGUAAAUUCAGUGUAGGCUUUUUUCUAAUUAAUUAAUUAUUUAUGAAUUUAAAUCAAAUUAAUUAAAAAUAAAAAUAUUCAUUUAAUAUACAACGUGUCCUAACGUGUCGGAAUUUUCUAUUUUUGAGAAAUGGCGUGUCGCUUGUCCGUGUCAUGUGUCGUGCUACUUAGCUCUUAACUGUCUUUGUCAUCGUCAAUUCUAGACCGUAAAUGUCUCCAUUGCAAAGUGAGUUCUUGCUGUUCUUAUUAUACUUGGUGGAGGGAAGAAUGGCAUUAGAAAUGUCAAAAAUUAUAUAUGAUGUUCACUUUAGUAUUAAUUUUUCUUUUUUGGAUCUCUCAAGUGCCAUUUUGAAAAAAAAAAAAAAUCACUUAAGUGCCAACUUCCAUCUAGCUUAUCAAAUAUCUGACGUGGCCAUAAUUUAUUAAUUUCUUAGUCCUACAUGAUUUGCCAGUGUCCUCAGUCAGCAUAUAACCCCUAAAUGACUUUGUGUAGACAAGUAGAUGAGUGAUUAUUUAAGUGCCAAAAUUAUAAAUAUGAAUCGUUUAAGUGCCAAUUAUUGUUAAAAGUGAUUAUUUAAGUGCCGGUCAUUAUCAAAAAAUAAUAUUUCACUAUAAGUCGUUGUUAAAAAGUAAUCACUUUAGUGUCAAUCUCAAUUAAAAAGUGAUUAUUGUGUGAUGUCGUUUUAAACGUCCACAUGGACUGGAUUUUUUUUAGAAAAUAUGCGAAAUCAUAUUAAUUUUUCAAUUAUAAAGGUCAUGUAAUCAAUUCGAUCAAAAUCUCUGAUCAAGGGCACUUAAGUUAUUGCUUUUUCUUUGAUUUGACAUUUAAGUGAGCUAGCAAAAAAAUUUGAUAUUAAAGUGAGCAUUAUGUAUUAUUUUUGACAUUUCUAAUGUCUUUCUUCUCCCUUUAGUGGAGCUUACAUUUCUAGACUAGAUGUUCAUUCUAUAAAUCAAUAAUACGUGUCGAGUGGGAUACAUGAAACAGUGACGGUAUAGAUAAUUGAGCUCCAAUAAUACGUGUUCGUUCUAUUUACAUGAAAUCUAUGCAUAAUGAAGACUUUUUGUGACCAUGUAGGAUCGAGUUUUUUGCAAUUUAUACUUCAACACGGGGAAAGUAUAAUAGUUUCCUUGUAAACCAGGAAAAUUACUUGGCUAUUUUGGAUGAUUUUGAGCUCGAAAUGAUCACUCGACUGUACCUGUGCCAUAUUUAUAGCGUCACUAAUAAAGAGGAAGGAAGGAAAGUAGGAGCCAAGGUGGCAGGAUGAAGUGUGAGAUAGAGUUUAAUUGAUAAUUCAAAAAAUCUCUCAAAGUAUCAUACGUUUCAUAUGUCCAUAUUGAAAAUUAGAGAUCUCUUCAAUUAAUACAAUCGGGUGGUUCUACGUAUAAGUUUAUGUUCUAAUUCAGAAGCUAUUGUUAGUUGGAGAGUUCAACUCCCUCUCUCUGUUUAAUGAAGAAAGAACAUGAAGACGUCUUCCCGUUGCUCCAGAAGAAAAAAAAGAAAAAGAAAAGCUAAGUUGAACAAGACAUACUAUAGCAUAGCUUUCUGAAUUAAUUUGAAAACAUGUGAACGUGUUGCUAACUUGCUAUAGCAUUUGAAGUGAACACAUGAUUGAACUAGACUUACAUGCCAAAUUGCAUAGCUUUCUGAACGAGUUUGGGCACAUUUGGAAAAGUUAAAGCAAGUCGAACUAGACUUUCCACUAUAAAGGAAAACUUAGAGCAGACCCGCUCAUAAUUGGGGGGCCAGUGGACGCAGAGAGUCAAUUAGAGGGGGCCACUUUGAUUGACUCUUUGGUCCACUCUAAUUGACUCUUUGCACUUGUAGGCCGCCAAAUAAUGACCGGCAUCUUGCUUUUUCCCCGAUGGAUGACUUUUGGAAUUAGUGUUAGGAAUGCAAACAUUUUCAAUUUUGCAUUUUUUGGCUAAAUUAGAAGACUGAGAUUGGUAGAGUAAGCAAUGCAGCAUGCUCUUAUUGGUGUUAAGUAGUGAUCGCAAGCAUUGACUAAGAUUGGUAGAGUAAUCAACAAUUUGAUUUUCUUUAAAAUUAUGAACAUUAAUAAAAGAAUAUGAUAAGUGUACUGAAAGUCCUAAAACUUAUCAUAAACUCCUUAAAGGCUCCCUCUCCAUGCACUAAAAUACUUACAUUAUAGAUUGCUAUCUGAUGGGCCAUAUUUUCCUUAUCACAUGCAAUUCGUACCAAACACUCCUUAAUUGAAUCUUCACCUCUAUCCGGUAUCUCCAAUUGAGCGGGCAAAAGAUUUUUAAUGCUUGAUUGUCAUGUUACUCAAUAAAUUUGAACAAGAUUAAGCUUUGCAAGCAUCUAUAAAAUAAAAGCCAUACAAUAGUGACAAGAUAUACAUUUCUCAAACAAACUACUGAGAUUAAUAUCUUAAAUUUGAAUGCAAUUUAUCAAGACCAAACUUAGAGUCAAAACUCAUUUUAUAAUUUAUAUUUAUAUUUAAUCCAAAACCAAAGCCCAAAUUUAUUUUAAGAUAGAGCUUGAUUGAUAAUUCCAAAAUCUCUCAGAGUAUCAUACAUUUUAUAUGUCUAUAUUGGAAUAUAGAGAUACCUUAAAUUUAACUCAAGAGAAACUAGACUUACUAUAGUUUAGCUUUCCGAAUGAGUUUGAAUGCAUGUGGCCAUGUUGAUAACUUGCUAUAGCAUAUAAUGAAAACACACGACUGAACUAGACUUAUUGGCCAAAAAUUGCAUAGCAUUCUGAGUUUCGGCGCAUUUGAAAAAGUUAAGCGAAGUUGAACUAGACUUCCCAUUAAAAAGAAAAUUACAGCAGCCCCACUCACUUUGUGGGGGCCAACGAAUGCAGAGAGUCAGUUAGAGUGGCCCGCUCAGAUUGAUUGUUCCAAAAAGUGACUGACAUCUUGCUUUUUCCCCAUUGGAUAACUUUUGGACUUAGGCUGCGUUUGGGAGUGGCAUUUGCAAGCCACUUUGAACCCCCAAAGCUCUUUGGGCUAAUUUGUAGGUGUUUGGUAAAAAUUUCCAAACCCCAUUUGGGGAAUGCCAAGCAUUCCCAAGGCUGAAAGCCCAAGGCAGGUGGGGGGCUGCCUUGGGCUUUCAGCCUUCUCGGCAUGCUGAGCUGAGCUUAAAUAAAAAAAUUUCCUUCCCAAAUUGUCCCCGUUGAUUUUUCGUUUUUCCCUUUUUAUCCUGACUGUUCAUCUUCUUCUUCUUUCUUCUUUGUGAGCGGUUGUCGACGAAGGGCACGCAAUCGCCGGCGACCGUCGCGCCUGCCACGCCGACUCGCCGCACCACGACCUCUGCCACGGCCGCGCGACCCUUCGGCGAGGGUCGCGUGACCCCGCUCGAGAGGUCGCCGCGAAGGUCGCGACCGCGACCCAUUUGGUCGGAGAUCUGGUCGCCAGCCGCGACCUUUGCACUGCGACCAGAUGGGUCGCCAGUUGCGACCUUCAAGCGACCUUCGCGGAGAUCGCGACGCAGAUCUGCGUCGCCGGCCGUGCUUUAGGCGACCUCCACGGAGGUCGCGACCUUCGCGACACCCAUCUGGUGGCGACCUUCGCGCGACGCAUCUUGUCGCAGAUCUGGUCGCGACCACGCCGGCCGCAACCUUCACGCGCGACCAGAUGGGUCGCCGGCGACCUCUGCGGCGCGGUGGGUCGCACGACGGAUUGCCUACCCUUGGUCGGCGGUGACCAGUGAAGCCCUUGGCCAGUGAAGCCCUUGGCCGGCGAAGCCUUGGCCGGCGAAGCCUUGGCCGGCGAAGCCUUGGCCGGCCAAUGUUCUCUUUUUUUUUAAUAAUAAAAGUAUUUUACAAAUUUAAUUUACCCAAACAUUAUUUUGCAUAAAGAUAUUUCACAAUGGACUUUCACAAAUAAAUUUACCAAACACAUUUUGCAUUUUGAAAAACACCCUUAACUCAAAGGCCUUUACCUUUUCUCAAUGGCUUUUCCCAAAAGUCUUCCCAAACGCACCCUUAGUGCUGCAAACAUAGAUUCUUUUUUUAAAAAAAAUAUUUGGGCUAAAUCAGAAGACUAAGAUUGGCAGAAUAAUAUGGCAGGCUCUUAUUGGGCGCUAGGUUGAGAUACCAAGCAUUGAUCUUUGUGUUUGUGUGGAAUGAGAAGCUUAUUAAGCAAACUCGCACUGGCAGUGUUUGUUCUUGGAAUGAGGCACAUUGUUAACUCGAUAGGAAGAUCUGAGAGUGGACCGAGAUGGAGAUCCUCUAUGCGUAGAGUUCUCUUCCCUUUGCCUUUUGUUUCUCACACGGAAGCAAUUAUUACUAUGCUAUACACGAGAAUAGACUUGCGAAAGCAAGGAAAAAGAAAGAAAGAGAAGCACAAUAAAUCACAUUAUACUAGCCUACAGACUCGUGCAUGGACUUGCGGAAUAGAUUACAAGAAAUAACCUUCCUAGAAGUGUACCAAAUUGUGCGGUAAGAGAUUGUUGUCAUACAGAAAGUGACUGUGGGUCCUUGAACUAUAAGGCAAACAUUUUAGUUCGAUUAAAGUGAAAAAAAAAUCAAAGCUAAUUUUUUUUCAAAAGAAUUUUAAGAUCGAUGUCUCUCAUAGAAAGUGCCACUUUUCGCCCACCCAUUAAAAGCAGUCACUCAUUGAAAGUGUUUUGGAGUAUCACUUUAUAUUGAUCCAACAACAUAGAUUCACUUUAUCUAUUUUAGGUCUAUACAACGAACAUAAUGGAAUUUAUAAACUUAAUUCUAAGAUCUGUAAAAUAAUGCUUUCUUUUCUUGUGCAGGCACAUCAACAAUAUGCUUUUCGUCGCCUGUGAAGUAGGCGUCCUUGUGGUCCAUCCAUGCCCUUUCUUUUGGGUAUGUAGGAUUGAGCUGUUGUCGGGACCCACCGUUUUGCACGAGCUGGUAUGAUAUUUUUUACUCAUAGCUAAAUCUAUCAAAAUGAGACUUAAAUUUUGAAGAAUAUACUUAAAUGAAUUUAAAAUUUGAAAGCCUGAAGUAAAUAGAUCUAAAUGGAUUGGACUUAGAACGCAUUUCCACUCAAGCUCACACAUUCUCAUUUCCUCUUUAGCCUUUAAUAUAUAUAUAUAUAAAUCGAAAUUAUAAUUAUAUUUUAUAUUUCCUUUGUCUUUUCUUAUUUCUUUUCUUUUUUUUCUUCCCCUCCUUCUUCCAUCUUCGACAAUGGUCGGUAACUAGCCAGGCUAGGGAUGAGCUCAAGUCUCGCUAAAUCGACGAGACUUGAGCUCAAGCUUGAGCUUGCUUAUGAUCAGUCACCGGCCGUUGUCAUGGUUAGCAAUUGGCCAAAAAAGAAGGAAAAAGAAAAAACAAAUCUAUUUUUAACAAAAAAAUUAAAAAUUCGAUUUUUUUAAAAAGAAAAAAAUAUUAAAAGGAGUGUAUGGAGGAAAAUUUAAUCAUAUAAUUCAUACUAAACAAUAGAAAAAAUUUUCUAAUUUAUUUUCAGAUUUUAGAUAAAAACCAAAAAAUAUUAUAAUUUUCCCAAAAAAAAAUACUUAUUGGAACAUAUUUUCCAAGAAAUAAAUUGAGGCUUAUUUUAAAAAAAUUAAAAAAUAUUUACUAGAUUUGUAUUGCAUGAAAAUGUUUUACAAGACCAUUUAAUAAAAAAUCAUAAGAAAUAAACUUUCUUAUGUUUAGUUUAAUAGGUCGAGUGUGGAUAGGGAGUGGGUCAGGUUGGGUAUGGGUUAAGAAUUUUGUAUUACCAUAAAUGAGUCAUAAAUUAUUUAUAUAGAUCGAUUUAGGUAUAAUUAUUUAUGACUUGACCCAAAUUCAACUCGAUUCACUUGUUGGACAGCUCUACUCAUAAUGUCAAUUCCAAAACCUAAAUAUCUAGGAUUGGUGGGUCUCCUUUGUAAAGUGCGUUCCGGUUGUUCUUGUUAGACAUGGUGGGGCUUACCUUUUUAAACUAGACGUCCAUGCCUUAAAUGAAUGAUCCGUGUUAAAGUGGUGAUGCUUGAUAUGGUGAUGGCAUAAAUUAUUGAGCUCUUUAGAAUGGUCAUUGUUCAAUUUGUCAGUACUUUCCAUGAUAUAUAAUUCAUGAUGUCCAUUUUAUCUAUAUGAUAUUUAUGCGGAGCGAAGACUUUUUGUGAUCAUGCAGAGUCGAGUUUUUUGCAAUUCAUACUUAUAGGCGGUGAAAAGUACGGUGGUCUUUGGAAACUAGGAAGAUUACUCAACUAUUUUGGAUGGUUUUGAGCUCCGAACUAUCACUCGACUAUCCUGCCACAUAACUUUCACUGAUAAGGAGGAAGGAGGGAAAGCAAGGGGUGAGGUGGGAGAUGAAUUGCGAGAUAGAGCUUCACUGAUAAUUCAAAGGAUCUUCAAAAUAUCAUACAUUAAUACGUUCAUAUUGAGAAUCUAGACAUGCCUUCGAGUUUCAAGCAACUACUCUAGGCAUAUAUCCAAUGGCGGUUUUACCUCUAUGUUCUGAUUCAGAAGGUUCAUCUCUCUCUCUCCCUAUUUAAUAAAGAAAGGGGAUAAGCACGAUAUAAGUAUUAUAAUCUUCGUUCAAUCAAAACUUUUUAUUCGAUUAUUUGGGCACUUUCACUUGAGCGUCAUAACUUUAAAUCGAUCACUCAAAUGUCAUAAUUAUUCACUUAGGUGUUGAAAAUAUGAUGUCACAUGGCACUUGUGAUGAACAUUUUUAAAAAGUUAUAAUAUGAUCAAUUAAAAAGUUAUAUGGCACUUAAGUGAUCAAUUAAAACGGUAUAUGGCACUUAAGUGAUUAAAUAAAAAGUUAUAGCUUAAGUUAUGAUGUUCAUGAUGCGCUUUUUCCUCAAUAAUGAAUGGGAAGAAUCUUUCCUGUUGCUGAGGAAAAAAAUAAGCAAGUUGAACUAGAUGUAAUUUUCUGGAUUAGUUUGAACGCAUGUUGAUAACUUUUAUUUCGGUCAAAUUCAAAACCUAUUCCCAUUGCCCGAGGAGAAAAGCAAGUUGAACUAGACUUUCCAGUAAAAGGAAGAAAGAAACGCAAAUGACAGAUUAUUGUUUGGAGGCGAGCCGCUCUAAAUGACUCUUCGCACUCGUAGGUCCCCAAAAAAUGACUGGACGCUACUCUAAUUGACAAAUCUGCACUUGUAGGCAUCCCAAAAAUGACUGGCAUCUUGCCUUUUCUUCAGUGGAUGACUUUUAAAAUCAGCGCUACGAACGCAAACAUUUUUAGUUUUGUAUUUUGGGGCUAAAUCAUGCCCAAGCCAGCAACUUCGGGGUGUCGCUAGGCUAACGGGCAGUAACAGCAAACUUUUCCAGCCAUCUAUCCCAUAUUCAGCGUGAGGAGCGACCGAAAGGUCAAGGUUGGUCUUUUUGUCUUAUUUUAGCUGUUUUUUUUCUGCUUAAAAAUUUAAUUUAGGUUACGUGCAAUCGUUUUGCAACACUCGCAUUAAACAAGAUUAAAAAAAAAAAAAAAACUCAGACACACAUUGGAAGUGCCAAAAUAAGACAUAGACCCAAUUUUUUUACUCAUAUGUCUGGGGUUGGGCUCUUAAUGAGUUAUUAGACAUUUUAACGGAUUGGUGAAAAUAGAUUUAAAAUAUUAAAUCUAGCUAUGUGCAUGACACGUCGAAGGGUGUGAAACGGAUGUCAUGGCUAUCAGAAUGGUGGGCCCCACAAUAAAAUAUCUCCGGAAAGCCCUCGUAAAGUCACAUAUUCGAGCCAUUAUCUUCACUUUCACUUUUAAAUUUUCAGCUAAAAUAGAAAUAUCAUUAAAUAUAAAAAAUUGCAAAAAUAAACUUUUAGGUGACUUUAGACUUUACUACAUAUGUCCUCAAGGUUUUUUUUUUUUUUUUUUAAUAAAAUUUCCUUAAGGUUUUUGGCCACAUUUCAAUGAUAACGAUUCUAAAAAACACAACAAAAGUUGAGCUUGAUAGAUAUAAUUCACAUCUUUGUAAUUCGUACCAGACACUCAUUAACCGAAUCAUCAACUCUAUUUAGCAUCUGCAAUUGAGUAGCUAAGAGAUGUUUUAUGCUUAAUUGUCAUGUUACCUAGAUAUAUUUGGACAAGGUCAAGCUUUGCAAGUGUCUAGGAAAUAAAAACCAUACUUUAGUGGCAAGAUAUAAAUUUCUUGAACAAACUUUUGAGAUUGAUGCGUCGAAUUGGAAUGCAAUUUAUCAAGACCAAACUCCAAAUCAAAACUCUUUUAAUAAUUUAUGGAUGGCCUAAAACACUUUUAUAUUUAACCCGAAACCAAAGCCCGAAUUUGUUUUAAGAUAGAGCUUGAUUGAUAAUUCAAAAAAUCUAUUAGAGUAUCAUACAUUUCAUAUGUCUAUAUUAGGAAUAUAGAGAUACCUUAAAUUUUAGGCAACUAUUUUAGGCAAAUAUACCCAGUAGUGGUUCUAACUCAAAAGGUGAUGAUUGUUGGACAUUUUAACUCUAAUUGAACUAGACUUACCAUAGCGUAGCUCCCUGAAUGAGUUUGAAUGCAUGUGAACACGUUGAUAACUUGCUAUAGCAUACACUCUAAACACACAAUUGAACUAGACUUCCUAGCCAAAAAUUGCGUAGCUUUCUGAAUGAGCUUGGGCGCAUUUGAAAAAGUUAAGAAAAGUUGAACUAGACUUUCCAUUAAAAAGGAAAAUUACAAUCAUCUUGCUCGUUUUUUAGGGGCCAGCAAAUGCAAAGGAGUCAAUUAGAGUGGGUUGCUUUGAUUGACUCUUUGCACUUGUAGGCCCUAAAGAUUGACCGGCAUCUUGCUUUUUCCCUAAUGGAUGACUUUUGGAAUUAGUACUCCAAACGCAAAAUUUUUUAAUUUAUAUCUUUGGGCUAAAUCAAAAGACUAAGAUUAGCAUAAUUAAGCAAGGCGGCAGGCUCUUAUUGGGUGUUUGGCAGAGAUAUUUUUGUUUGUGGCCGGCCGGCCACGUCCUCCCUUUGUGGGGGAAGACCCCUUCAUUUCCUUGUACCUAGUCUAGUCUACUAGGAUAAGGGCGUCGCGGUGAUCCAGGUGGGUUCCGAANNNNNNNNNNNNNNNNNNNNNNNNNNNNNNNNNNNNNNNNNNNNNNNNNNNNNNNNNNNNNNNNNNNNNNNNNNNNNNNNNNNNNNNNNNNNNNNNNNNNUCGCGAGGGGUCAACCAGGGAUCCCCCAUUAGACUUGGCUUGUUAACGGAGCCCAUCCCGGGGUAGUUUACCGACCUGCCCAGGUUGAGUGGAAUGAGAAACUUAUUAAGCAAACUGGCACUUGCAGUGUUUGUUCUUGGAAUGAGGUAUGUUGCUAAGCUGCUAAGCCUGCACAAAUCGAAGGAAUAUUCCAGUGGACCGAGAUGGAGGUCCUCCGUUCAGUGAAGAAUGGGUUUGUAGGGCUAAUAUAAUGCAAUCUAUCACGCUCUGCUCUUUAUUUCUUCAUCCUUGGUUUCACAAAUCUAUUAUCGUGCAAUUGCUUUUUUUUUUUUUUUCUUUUUUCAGAAACAAAAAGCGAAGGAAAGAGAUAUCUUACCUUUACCCAAAAAAAAAAAAAAAGCAAAGGAAAGAGACUUUACCAAAAAAAAGCAAAGGAAAGAGAAUUUCUUUAUGCAACAGAGGAUCCCCAUCUCAGUCCUCUCUAAGAUCUUCCUUGGAUCCACACAGGCUCAAUAACUUAACAAUGCACCCCCAUUCCAGGAACAAACGCUGAAAGCAAAAAGAUCGAUGCUUGGUAUCUCCACCGAACACCCAAUAAGAGCCCACCAACUACCCCCAAAACAUGAGCAAAGCCACUUUAAAUUUUCCUUUUUAAUGGAAAGUAUAGUUCAAAUUGCUCAACUUUUUUCAAAUGUGCCUAAAGUCAUUUAGAAAGCUAUGCAAUUUGGCCUGUAAGUUUAGUUCAAUCAUAUGUUUGCUUUAGAUGCUAUAGCAAGUUAUCAACAUGUUCACAUGCGUUCAAACUCAUUCAAAUAGCUACACUAUAGUAUGUCUAGUUCAACUGGCUUUCUUUUUCUUCCCGAGCAACAGGAAGUCUUUUUCAUGUUCUUUCUUUAUGUGAUAGAGAGAGAGAGAGAGAGAGAGAGAGAGAGAGAGAGAGAGAGAGAGAGAGAGAGAGGAUCCAACUACCAAUAACUUCCAACUUAGAAUGUAGAAGUAUAACUAUCUAAUUGUAUUGCCUAAAAUUUGAAGGCCUCUGGAGUUCUAAUAUGGACAAUUGAAAUGUAUGAUAAUUUGAGAACUUUUAUGACUUAUCAAUCAAGCAAGUUAAUAAUUAUGAACAUGGAAAAAACAAUUUGGACUUUCCUUCACUACAACGUUAAUAAUCCAACUGAAAUUUCCACUUGUGACGUUUAUCGUCUUUAAAUUCCUACAUAUUAUUAAUUGAUAUAAGAACUUUUAGAUGUGGCAUGUGCAUGGCACAUGUUAAGGGAAAAGGUUAUUGGGGUUAACUAGUGUAUAAUUAUAUGAGUUCAGGUUUAGGGGAGGAGGAAUGCAAAUUAAUGAAGAACUUCAAAGUUAUGAGGGUAAAAUAACAUUUUCCCUAAAUGUAAGAAUGAGGUUUCACGUUCAUGGAACCUUAAGAGUGUCAUGACAAUUUAUCUAAUUUAAAGUGAUUUUCCUCAUUUUUAAACGAUGUAGUUGCAUUUAAUAACGGUUAAUAUUUUCUUUUGUACUUGGUUAGGAAAAUUUCCUCCAAUCGUAUCUUUGAUUGGUGUCUAAAUUAUGAACUGUAAACUUAAUUAAAUCUAAAUGUGAGUGGUCUUCAUAUUUGUAACCCACCAAUUAGAGGCAUAGCAUGUGAUAAGGAAAAUAUGGCCCAUUAGAUAGUAAUCUAUGAUGUAAGUAUUUUGGUGCAUGGAGAGAGAACCUCUACAGAGUUUGUGACAAAUUUUAGGAUUUUUAGUACACUUGUCAUAUUGUUUUAUUUAAGUUCAUAAGUUAAAGAAAAUCAAAUUGUUGAUGUUCUAGCGAUGAAAAGAAAGCAAUUUUUUUGGAGCUUAGAAUUAAGCUCAUAAAAUCUAUUAUGUCCGUUGUAUGGAUCUAAAAUAGAUAUAGUGAAUCUAUUUUGUUAGAUAAAUGUAAAGUAAUGCUCCAAAGCACUUUCAAUGAGUGGCCACUAUUUUAGAUUCACCGCAUCUAUUUUAGAUCUAUACAUUAGACACUACUUAUUUUAUAAGCUUAAUUCUAAGCUCCAAAAAAUAAUGGUUUCUAUUUUUGCGUGAGCACAUCCGCGAUUUGCUUUUCAUUAACUUAUUAAUUUUAAUAAAAAUUAAUAAAUUUAGGACUCCAAAAUUAAUAAAUUUGAUUAUCGGACAUUGAUGUUCUUACUUCUUCUUUUUUCAACUUUUGGCCCAAAUGUUAUCAAUACUAUUGGCUUUGCAGUUUUUUUUUUUUAAUAUUAGACAACUUAUUAUAAUGAUGAAUAGUUUAAUUAUGGGAUCUCUUGUUAUGCUUGUCUUUAAUUUUUCUUGAGCCAAUCUGCAAUUUUUGAAAGGAAGCAAGCAACACAAAAUAUGACAUAGUUGAGAAAUUAAGAAAAAAGGAAAGUAAAAAAAAAACAAAGUGAGUUAGGUGUCCAUAAACGCACAUCAACUCCUCAAGGCUCCCUCUCCAUGCACCAAAAUACUUACAUUAUAGAAUAUUGUCUAAUAGGCCAUGUUUUCCUUAUUCCACGUCAUACUAAUUGAUGGGUUACAAGUAUGCAAAACACUCGUAUUUAAUUUUAGUUAAGUUUACAGUUCCUAACUUGGACACCUAUCAAAGGUAUGGUUAAGAAUCAUAUAUAAAGAACUAGAGAUUUGUUUAAGUGACCAUCAAAAGCAAAUAGCUGUGUAAAAUUUCUAUGUGAAUGUGCUACGUGACUCAGCCUCAUGUGAGGUUUACCCACUUUAUAUGUUUGUGCACUUGCGCUUUGAUGGCGUCAAUGGGUACUUCAGGCAAUUACAAAGUUUUCUAGCCACAAAUGCGCUUCAAUAGCCGCGCAUAGCUCCAACACAUGAGACUUAGUUGGAUUUAUUUUCAGGCAAUGCAUUUUGCACAUUUAGUCUGUCAGAUGAGAUCAAUGACCUAUGAGGAAAUAACGAGAUAUUAAUUUAUUUCAGGAAGCAUGAGUAAUUUGAGCUCUAGGGCAAUUUUUGCACAACCUAUAAAUAUAUAUAUAUAUAUAUAUAUAUAUAUAUAUAUAUUUGCUAAUAAUAUUUCUUAUAUGAUUAUUGAUGUAUUUGAUAUUUCACAUUUAUAUAUUUAUUGACUUACAUACUGGAGAAGGGAAGAAAAGCAAAUAAGAAGAAGGGGGCUGGUGCCAUGAGACAAAUUUGACCAGCUUUGAGCAAAUUAAAUGGUCCUCCGUUGGAACGGUGGAGUUUGAACAGGUAAUGCCAUGUCUCGGUCCAAUUCUUCUAUAAUUUCCUGUUUCAAUUUUGUUCAACUUGAAUUUGUGACCUUUAUUCCACGGUAAGUUUGACAUAGUUAUUGUCUCAAAUGGAUUACGUCUUCCCGAAGGCACAAGUUCAAGACGUGGAAAAGCUCGAGAAAUUCCAUGCUUUCAACAACAGGAGAUGGAGCACGAAGAUGUGCUGCCAAUUGAUUGUUUCACAGUUUGGCUAUGCUCUAAGAACUACAUGUACGAGAUGAAUCUUCCAAUAGGGAACUCAUCGAGGUCCAAAGAAGCGAAUGGAAAAUGACCGAAACAACCUAUUCAUGAUCCACGACGCAAUGGACAACCCUCUUUUCAACAUCCUCACAUGAAUCGACGGUUAAUGAUGUUUGGAAAGGCGUCCGAUAGAGGCACGUAAAUGAGAACACCAGUAACAUCUUUCUUGGUUAACAAGUACCUCGAUUAUAAAAUGAUCAUUCUAUGCCUAUCACCGAUGAGGUCAACGAAUUGAGAGAUAUUGUAACUGCGUAUGCAGAUGCGGAUGAAUCAAUCUCCAAGACCUUUCUCGUUUCUAUGGUCGUUGGUAAACUUCCAUCUCCAUGGAAAGACUGCCAAGAGCUUUUAAGCAUUAGAAAGAGUCUUUUGAGUUUGGAUCGAUGCUUCAAGGCAUUUAAGUUGAAAGUUAGGCCAGAAAUCAUGAUGUAUUUGAAAACCAAGCAAAAAGUGAACAAAGUUCAUGAUGUUGAGGAACCGGCAUCUAGUAAUUUUAGGGAAUUUUUGAACGAGACUUGCUUUCGGAGUGGCAAAAUGGAUCAUGGGGCUCCCUUUUGCUAAGACGAAAGAAGAAUGAAGCCAAUUUGGCGGAGGACAAUGACGUGGUUGCGAUGAUCAUGGGGGUUCUCAUGGCGAACGAUGAUGAAGGUUGGUGGAUUGACUCCAGCGAAACUUGCAAUGUUAUUCCCCACAAGAUGAAAAAUAUUUACGCUCUCUCGGACAACCCUGUCAAUGAGUCGCCUGAUCCGUCUAUGUUAGGUUACCAAAAGUUAAGUUUCGUGCGAGUAUUCUAUCCCAAAGACAACGAAGGAAUUCAAGAAGUUUGAUACAAGAUUACGUGUGAGUGUAUGCCUGUGAAGAGAUGACAUGUUGUUUCCAGGAGCACAUAAUAGCACGAGGCAACAACUCUAUCAAUGAUUUAGUGCAUGGUACCGACUUAAAUUGAUAUCUAUUUGUAAGAUUUAAGAGGAUUUUGCUACUUGCAAAUUGAGCUAUUUGGUACUGGCAAAGUGAAAGAUAGAAAAAAGGAAAAAAAAAGAAAAAAAAAACAGUUCUAUGAUUUUCUUUGAUACUUAACUUAAUUUGAUAAAUUAGUAAAUGUAGAUUUUUGACAUCCCAACAUGUCGUUUAUUCUGAUUUCGCUCAACAUAACAUCGCCAAAUUAAUAGGUAUAAAUUCCCUCUUGAAUGUGAAGAAGAACUCAUCCAUUUCCGAUGGAAUCAAGUGAGAGAACGGAGAAUUGAACUUAAUUGAUUUGGUAUGAUAUUAAGGAAUGAAAAGUCGAAUUCAUGGUAAUUGAAGGUACUUUAUUAGAGGAGAAAAUAGUAAUUCCAUCAAAAGAGUGAUUUCAUGAUUACAAAAUAUUUCCUACAACCCAGUUAGACAAAAUUCCUUCCCACUUAUACUGUUGAUUGGUGGGUUACAAGCAUAGAUCUCAAAUUCAAUUUUGAUUAAAUUUAUAUGCAGCUCAUGUACAUAAUUUAUAACCCACCAAUAAGAGGUAUGGUUGAAGAAAAUUCUGCCUUUAUAAAAUUGGCUCGUUGAGUGUAUCAAAUGUUGCAUUGGUCUUUGAUGGGUGGGCUUAAACGACCAACAAAAAUUUGAUAAAUGCAAACUUUGCAAAUCAAUUUUGCUGACUACCCUUUGAGAUCAAUAAUCGUAACAUCAUCUCUUUGACGUAGACGAACUUAGAAACGACGGCAUGGCAAAAAAGCUGCUGCUAUGUAGGGAUGCUGUACCAUAUUGUGUAGACCGAAAGAGAACUUCCCACGCAGGAACCUUAUAAGCAGCCGUUGCUGCCUGCUAUCCGUUAUGUUGAGAACGGUCGACUGAUUCGGUUUUGGAGUUUGUGUGGUGCUGUUGCAACCUGAUGACACUGGUCGUGGAAGGAGCGGAGCAAAGUCAGCUGCUAUGGAGUGCGGAAGAGAAGAAGACCAAAGCGCAAAAAGAACAAAUAUGUGACAGGCUGAGUUUAAAAAGAAUGAUGCGACAUUUUCACCUAGUUAGACCUGUAAUGCAUUGCUAAUAAUUUUGUGACAUGGUGCAGAAAUCUCUCAUAGAGUGAAAUUUAAUAUGUUGAGAUACUUAUUAGGUAAAGAUAAGUUUAGGUAUCUAAUGAAUAAAAGUCCAAGCAUUUGCAACAUCAUUAUCUGAAAAAUGACUGGCAAGCGUACGUGUGGUCCAUCAUAAACGAAAUCAAGCUCACGAAGUUACCUUUUCUAUUUCCUACAUAUGAAAUAUCAAGCUCACCAAAGUUUUCAAUGAAUGGAUCAUAAGAAAGUUCUUUUAUUGGGGAGGGAGAAAAAAGCAGUUGGCAGAGGAUGACCAGAAGGUAAAAGGAAAACCUUACAAGCCAAGUUCUGGGAGUAAGUAGGAGCAAGAAAAUUUCGAAAGCUAAGUUAAUUCGCACCAGAGAUGUAUCAAGUGAUGUUUUAGCCUCAGGUACCACUGACAUAGUUUAGUGCCCAAAACUGGAAAAAGUCCUAAAUCUACGGCUUCUCUUUGACCAAACUGUUAAAACUCAUAAAAACAACAAUCAAAACAGAAAAAUUUCUGUUUUUGAGAGAGAGAAAAGAUUAAAAAAAAAAAAAAAAACAGAGCAUUUCAUACGUCUUGUGCUUAAGAAAAAAAACUGUCAAGUACAACCACUAAAUACAAAACAAAAACUGCUCACGUACGUGCAACACAUAACUGCACACAAACGUGCCAUUAACUCCUAGAAAAUAGCAAAAACCACUAAAUACGUAACUAAAUGAACUUGGCUGUUUUUUAAUAAAAAAACAGAGUAAAACAGAGUAAAAAGAAAACUGAAAUAGCAGAAAACAGAGACAUUAUAAUCCAACAAACUCCUCCUUGGAUCAGUGCUACUGCAUACUCCAAUUUUCUUUCUUAAUACUUCAAAUCUUCCAGCUUGAAGUGGUUUUGUGAACAUGUCUGCAAGUUGAUCUUCAUAUCUGCAAUAGACCAACUUAACUUCGCCACUUUGUUGCACCUCACGUAGAAAGAAAAAUUUGACUUUGAAAUGCUUGGUUUUGCCAUGGAAAACUGGAUUAUGAGAUAUUGCUAAAGCGGCCUGAUUAUCCACAUUAAUUUCAAUGCAAUCACUGGAAUUCAACCACAAAUCCUUCAUUAUCUUCUUCAGCCACAAAGCUUGAUUUGCAGCUGCAGUAGCUGCUAUAAACUCAGCCUCUGCAGUAGACUGAGCUACAAUCUCUUGCUUUUUAGAACACCAGGAGAAACAAGCAGAACCAAAAUUGAAACAAUAUCCAGACGUACUCUUCAUGUCAUCUACUGAACCAGCCCAGUCACUAUCAGAAAAUCCUUGCAAAUUAAACUUCUGACCUUUCUUAAACUUCACACCAAAGAACAAUGUUCCUUUGAGAUACCUCAAGACCCUUUUUGCUGCAAUCAAAUGUAACUGACUAGGACUACUCAUAAACCUGGAUAAAACACUCACAGCAAAUAGAAUAUCUGGUCUGGUUGCUGUAAGAUACAUGAGACACCCAAUCAGACUUCUAUACAUAGAAGCAUCUACUGCAUCUAAUCCAUCAUUCUUCUGCAGCUUUUCUUUAGCAGCCAUAGGAGUGCUUACACUUCGACAAUCUUCCAUCUAAAACUUCUUUAGAAUUUCCUUCAUGUAUUUUUUCUGACAGAUGAAGAUCUCAUAUGAAGCCUGUUUGACUUCCAAACCCAAAAAAUAAACCAUCUUUCCCAAGUCUGACAUCUCAAAAACUGCAAAUAGAUCUUGCUUCACCUUUUCUAUCAAUUCCAUAUNNNNNNNNNNNNNNNNNNNNNNNNNNNNNNNNNNNNNNNNNNNNNNNNNNNNNNNNNNNNNNNNNNNNNNNNNNNNNNNNNNNNNNNNNNNNNNNNNNNNNNNNNNNNNNNNNNNNNNNNNNNNNNNNNNNNNNNNNNNNNNNNNNNNNNNNNNNNNNNNNNNNNNNNNNNNNNNNNNNNNNNNNNNNNNNNNNNNNNNNNNNNNNNNNNNNNNNNNNNNNNNNNNNNNNNNNNNNNNNNNNNNNNNNNNNNNNNNNNNNNNNNNNNNNNNNNNNNNNNNNNNNNNNNNNNNNNNNNNNNNNNNNNNNNNNNNNNNNNNNNNNNNNNNNNNNNNNNNNNNNNNNNNNNNNNNNNNNNNNNNNNNNNNNNNNNNNNNNNNNNNNNNNNNNNNNNNNNNNNNNNNNNNNNNNNNNNNNNNNNNNNNNNNNNNNNNNNNNNNNNNNNNNNNNNNNNNNNNNNNNNNNNNNNNNNNNNNNNNNNNNNNNNNNNNNNNNNNNNNNNNNNNNNNNNNNNNNNNNNNNNNNNNNNNNNNNNNNNNNNNNNNNNNNNNNNNNNNNNNNNNNNNNNNNNNNNNNNNNNNNNNNNNNNNNNNNNNNNNNNNNNNNNNNNNNNNNNNNNNNNNNNNNNNNNNNNNNNNNNNNNNNNNNNNNNNNNNNNNNNNNNNNNNNNNNNNNNNNNNNNNNNNNNNNNNNNNNNNNNNNNNNNNNNNNNNNNNNNNNNNNNNNNNNNNNNNNNNNNNNNNNNNNNNNNNNNNNNNNNNNNNNNNNNNNNNNNNNNNNNNNNNNNNNNNNNNNNNNNNNNNNNNNNNNNNNNNNNNNNNNNNNNNNNNNNNNNNNNNNNNNNNNNNNNNNNNNNNNNNNNNNNNNNNNNNNNNNNNNNNNNNNNNNNNNNNNNNNNNNNNNNNNNNNNNNNNNNNNNNNNNNNNNNNNNNNNNNNNNNNNNNNNNNNNNNNNNNNNNNNNNNNNNNNNNNNNNNNNNNNNNNNNNNNNNNNNNNNNNNNNNNNNNNNNNNNNNNNNNNNNNNNNNNNNNNNNNNNNNNNNNNNNNNNNNNNNNNNNNNNNNNNNNNNNNNNNNNNNNNNNNNNNNNNNNNNNNNNNNNNNNNNNNNNNNNNNNNNNNNNNNNNNNNNNNNNNNNNNNNNNNNNNNNNNNNNNNNNNNNNNNNNNNNNNNNNNNNNNNNNNNNNNNNNNNNNNNNGAACUGCUGCACAAUUCCUGCUUGCUCACAAUUCAACUUAAACUUGUGAGCAGUAUACUUAGAACCAUUAUCAGACCUGAGCAUUUUAAUUUUAUUCCCACUCUGAUUCUCAACUAAGGCUUUAAACUUCACAAACACAUCAGCAACUUCAGACUUGGCUCGCAGAAAAUAAAUCCAACUCAUCCUAGUCAUAUCAUCAGUGAAGGUAAUGAAAUACCUGCUACCAUUGAGAGAAGACUCAGACAUAGGUCCACAUAAAUCUGUGUGGACUAAUUGCAGCUUCUCACAUGCUCUCCAGCCUCCUUCUUUGAAAGGAAAUCUGACUUGCUUGCCAAGAAGACAAGUUCUGCACUGUGGAAAUUCCUCCUCCAAACUUGGCAAGUCAUCUGCCUAGCUAUUUCUCUGCAUAAACGACAUGCUCUUCCUGUUAACAUGCCCAAGUCUUUUAUGCCAUAUCUCUGCAUUUUCUUCUUUGCACUUUAAAGCCAUUUGUUGCAUCUCUUGUGGCUUGAACAUGAAACUCUUGUCCUUCAUUGGGAUUCUUAGCACUUCUUUGCUAUCUGCAUUAUUAAUAAGACAUUCAUUCCCUCUCGAACUUUACUUUAUAACCCUUCUCAACUAAUUGACCAACACUUAACAGAUUAUGGUCAAUAUUUGGCACAAAAGAACAUCACUGAUCAGCUUCACCUCAUGAUUUCCUUCAAUAGCCACUGUACCCUUCCCUUGCACUUCGAUAUACUGUCCGUUGCCAAUUUUGACUCUGGACCUGACUGACCUGUCUAGAAUCCUAAACAGCUUCGAAUUGCCAGUCAUAUGAUUGGUACAACCACUAUCCACCAGCCAUGCAUCAUUCCCAACAGAAGAUUCAGAAAAAGAAGCUACAAACAAGUGCUCUUCCUCAGUUUCAUUCACUGCUACCUGGGCUUUUCCUGCUUGCUGGUAAUUUUUUUCUUUGUAGAUGGCUUCCAUGUGACUCAACUUGUGACAUCUUCUGCAUCUAGCAUCAGGUUUUCUCCAACAUCUAAAAAACUGAUGAUUAGUUCCACCACAGUAUUGACAAGGCUUUUUGUUCAUCUUCCAUUUGCUAGACCCACCAGAAUUUCCUUCUUUUGCUACAAACUUGGAGUCACCGGCGUUUUCUCUGGACUGAAUCCAUUUCUUCCCUUUGCCUCCAUCAUUUGACUUCACUCUAGCUUGCAGCGCACCCUCUAUAAACUCUUCUUUUCUCAUCAAUCUUCUGUGCUCCUGUGCCUGCAGAGCAUUUAACAAUUCUGCAAGCUUUAUAUCAGCUAAGUCUCUUGUAUUUUCCAGAGAUGCUAUGGUGGCUUCGAACUUCUCUGGAAGAGACCCCAGGAUCUUCUGAACAAGCCUUUCAUCCUUCAAGUCAGUCCCUAAAACUCUGAUUUUUUCAGCUAUCCCAACCAACCUAUCAGAGUACUCCUUCACUGACUUUGAAUCCUUCAUCUGCUAUCUCUUAAACUCCCUCAAGAGAUUCAACACCUUCAUGCCUCUUAUCUUCUCAUCUCCCUCGUAUUCAUCCUUCAAGAAAUCCCAUAUUGCCUUUGCAGAAUCACAUCUCAUGAUCCUUGUGAAGAUAGUGGGUGAAACAGGCAUGACUUUGUCCUGGCCUUCCUUGUGAUUCUCUCUUUAUGGUACUUUAUCUGAUUCAAGGUCGGAUUGUCUGGAAGUGGAGCAACCUCAUAAUCAUCCUCCACAGCCUCCCAUAAAUCAUGACCCUCCAAGAAUGCCGUCAUCUUGACAGCCCAAGCCUGAUAAUUUUCCCCAGAAAAGACUGGAGUUGCCAUUGCAGGAAUCCACUCGAUCCUGCCUCCAUCAGCUUUUUUCUUUGCAAAUCGGAAGCAAUCUUCACUCAAUUACCCUCACUUCACAGUCCCUUAAGAUCCCACAAACGCUUUGAUACCAAUGUUAAAACUCAUAAAAACAACAAUCAAAACAGAAAAAUUUCUGUUUUUGAGAGAGAGAAAAGAUAAUAAAAAAAACAGAGCAUUUCAUACGUCUUGUGCUUAAGAAAAAAAAACUGUCGAGUACAACAACUAAAUACAAAACAAAAACUGCUCACGUACAUGCAACAAAUAACUGCACACAAACGUGCCAUUAACUUCCUAGAAAAUAGCAAAAACACUAAAUACGUAACUAAAUGAACUUGGCUGUUUUUUAAUAAAAAAAAACAGAGUAAAACAGAGUAAAAAGAAAACUGAAAACAGCAGAAAACAGAGACAUUAUAAUCCAACACAAACGUAUACUAGAAUGAAAUCCUGGUGAAUGAGAAGGAUCUCUUGAGACUGACUGGGAAAGCACUGAUCAUAAGAUGAGGAACAUGAAGAGAUUUGAAGUAAGGAAGAAGAAUAACCUGAUCAGAGCCAUCCUCGGGGUUGUCCAAAAAUUGAAGAGAGAGCUUGCCUUACUCUUCCAACUCCUGAAGACCAUCGAAGCCAGCAAUGUACGUCUCUGGACGAGAUUGAAGAAACUGGGAGCUUUGACAGUAGGUACUGUUGGAGUUGGAGGAAAAGAGAGAGCUAUUGCUGAAAUCUGGAAUUUGAAACGAGAAAAAAGUGGGGGAAAAAGGUUGAAGACGAUGGAGUAUGCAAAAGAUGUACAUGGAAAGGUGAAGUCUAUGCUCUGAUGUCAAGGAUGCGAUCAACGUCCUCUUUUUGUCAUGAAGCUGCUUCGCUUGCCGGAAUAUAUUAACUAGGAUCCCUUCACUCAUUUCAUGAUCACCCCUUUCUUCUUUAAUUUUUCUUUUCUUCCUGCUGUUUGUCUUCGUCUGCUCUUGUUCUGUUGCAACAAAUGGUAAAAAGAAAAGAGAAUACUGUAAAGCGCCCCUGUUUUCCUCUCCUGCAGAAUUGGAAGAGUAAUGGACACUGACUAUGGAGUUCCGUUUUAAUUCCAUAAACAAGAACCUAUAUGGGCCAUGGACGUCAAAACUCAAGACCCGUGUACAAGUUUAGAAUGCCAAAUAAUGUGAAUUGAACAUACUGCGCUGUACUUCGGUACUUAAUCAACUAAUGCUAACAAUCUCAUGAUGGGGACGAGCGAAUUUGAUUUUACCAUAAGGGCGUCCAGAAAAGACAUUUGAAUCGUUGACAAACACUUUUUUGACAUCUAGUCAGCGACUGUUGUAGCUUCCAAAUACGUUCUUUCUCGAACAAAAGAAUUUCGAAUGGAAAUCGUUGAAUAUUGACUUAGUUCACGCCCAGUCCUGAUACUCCGCAUGUACGCCCUCUGUUUCUAAUGUUAAGAUGUUCAUAAGGAACUCGCUGUCAAGUGUCAAUCCUUUAAAAAAUCAGGAGUUGGAUGGAUAUUAUUCCAUAAUCUCAAGCUGCUUGAAUUGUCAAGAACAAUAUUUACAGGUUGCAACCUUCAUAAAUUGCAUCCAUUCAACAAGCUACUUCAGAAACUGAAAAAAUUAUCACUAUAAACGCACAUCUCGUGUUAGUCGUCGCUGAUAGUUUUGUCACAUGGUGCAUGAGUCUCUCAUUGAGCAAAAUUUAGAACGUUGAAAUACUUGUUAGGCAAAGAUAAGUUUAGGUGUCAUGAUGAAUAAAAGUUCAAGCAAUUGUGAUGUCAGUAUGUAAAAAAUGAUGGGCAAGUGAAUAUGUUAUCCAUUAUGAAUGAUAUCAAGCUCACAAGGUUACCUUGUCUAUUUCCUACAUAUGAAAAUCAAGCGGACGAAAUUUUCGAUGAAUGGAUCAUGAGACCUCUUCUCAUGAGCCUUUGCACCCCGAGGAGGGAAACCAGUAGUUGCAAAUAUGUCGAGGAGGGUGGUCCAUAGAGGCCCAAUUAGCAGAGGAAUAGCAGAAGGCAAAAGGAAAACCUAACAAGCCAGGUUCUAGGAUUAAGUCGAAGCGAGAAAAUUCCAAAGCUAAGUCGAUUCGGGCUCCUUCCUGGAGAUUUAUCAUGUGAGGUUUUAUCCUCAGGUACCACUGAUAGAAUUUAGAGUCCAAAACUGGAACAAGACCUAAAUCUACAACUUUUCUUUGACCAAACAUAUGCUAGAAUGGAAUCCUGGUGAAUGGAAAGGAUCUCUUGAGACUGACUGGGAAAGCACUGAUCAUAAGAUGAGGAACGUGAAGAGAUUUGAAGUAAGGAAGAAGAAUAACCUGAGCAGAGCCAUCCUCAGGGUCGUCCCAAAAUUGAAGAGAGUGAUUGCCUUACUCUUCCAACUCCUGAAGACCAUCGAAGCCAACAAUGUACAUCUCGGGACAAUAGUUGAAUAGACUGGGAGCUUUGACAGUAGGGACCGUUGGAGUUGGAGGAGAGAGAGAACUAUGGUUGAAAUCUGGAAUUUGAAAUGAGAAAAAUUUUCGAGCAUAGGUUGAAGAAGAUGGAGUAUGCAAAAGAUGAAUAUAUGAAGUGACGUCCUCUCUCUUGUCAUGGAAGUAGCUUUGCUUGCCAAACGAUACCUCCCCAGGCCUGAAUCUCUGUCCACGUUCAAUGAUUAUAUUAAUUCCAUCCCUUCACUCGCUUCAUGACCAUCCCUUUCUUCUUUGAUUAUUUUCCCUUCCUGCACAGGCCUGAAUUCGUGCUUGUUCCCAGAGAUGUACCAAGUUGUCUUUGUCCGUUCUUGUUCUGUUGCGACAAAUGGGAAAAAGAAUAGAGAAUACAGUAAAGUGCCCCCGAUUUCCCUUGCUGCAGAAUUGGAAGAGCAAGGACACUGACUAUGUAGUUUAAUUUUAAUUCCAAAAACAAGAACCUAUAUUGGCCAUGGAGGUCAAAACUCAAGAUCUGCGUACAAAGUUUAGAAUGCCAAAUAAUGCAAAUCAAACAUACUACACUGUACUUCUGUACUGAAUUAACUAAUAUUAACGAUCUCAUAAUCAAGGCGAGCGAAUUUGUUUUACCAUAAGGGCAACCAGAAAAGACAUUUGAAUCAUCGACAAACAGCUUUUUGGCAUCUACUCAGCAACUGUCCUAGCUAUUAAAAUACAUUUUCUCUGGAACAAAAGAAAUUAGAAUGGAAAUCAUUGAAUAUCGACUUAGUUCAUACCAAAUCCUGAGACUCUGUAUGUACGCUCUCUAUUUCUAAUGUUGGGAUGUUCAUAAGGAAAUUGCUGUGAAGCGUCAAUUCUCCAACAAAUCAGGAGUGGAUAAAUAUAAUUCCAGAGUCUUGAGCUGCGGAACUGUCAAGAACAAUAAUUGCUAACUGCGUCAACUCAAAUAGAUGCUCCAGAAACUGAAAAACUAUCCCUAAGAAAGGCAUUAACAGCUCCUGCAAGUCGAUGCAGGCGAUGCAACAUCAUGAGAUCAACUUGCUAGCCCCUGAACCGAUUAGUGUCUAAUCACGCCACAAGGUGCCGGUGAGGACUCUCAAUCUUUCAGAGAAGUCUUGACACCAAAACUAUCACAAAGCAAGAACAACGUCCAGCUUUGCCCUCAUCCGAUGCCAAAACAAACAGCCCAUCUACACAAUCACUUCAUUCUUAAUCUCACAUAAGAGCCACCUCCAUAUAUGGUUCUCUUUGGUUCGCAUGUCCCAGAUUAAACUGACAAAGUUUUCUUUAUCGUAUAUAGCAUGCUAUAGUAUAUCUUAUUAUUCGAAGGUCCCGAACGAGCAAGGGGAAUUCCCUUGGUCAAAUUCAACGGAUGGAUCUCAUCAAGAAUCCAAAAUGGCCAGGGAAUCUUGUGAAGAAAGUAUAGCAUUGUAUCAAAAACACGUUAAUGACUUCGCAAGAGUAUAAUUGUUAAGGAACUGAGAUAACAAAAGUUAGAGGGUUUUCCCGAAGAGUACAUAUGACUUAUUUGAAGCAAUUGUUCAUCCCUUUGAGCAUCCCCACAAAUAAAAUGAAAUCGAAAGUAUCUGCAUAGGCAAAUAAACAUAACCAAAUAGAUGUCAAGGGAGGAAGCAAAUCAUUCUUCAAAGUCAAUACCUCCAGAAAACCAUCACUUAGAUUUGCUUGUUACAGCCAUUAAGAGCUUAUCCAAGAUGAGCAAUCUUACUUGAUGGCUAUGACAUCUGCUGUACUUAGAAGGCAUUCCGAUGACUGUUGGCAUUAUCAAGAGAAUGAUUUCUCCGAAGCAUCCAGACAUACUUCUCCAUCAGCUUUUCCGUUGCUUGAAUCAUGUAAGAGAAGGAAAACAUUACCCUGUUGUCAUGGAAAUGAUUAAAUUCGACCAUAUUAGUUUAUGUAAAAGAAAGAAGACAAAAAUUAAAUAACCCAUCUUUGUAUUCGGUGAUUAAAUAUCAAACCUCCUUUUUGAUGUGUUGCUAGUUUCAAAUUCUUAAUUUAUUAACUGAAAACAUUUAAUAAUGGCAGAAAUUCGUAACUUACUAAUUUAUUGACUAUUUCUAGAUCUAUUGACCGGCUACAGUAGUACAAUUUGAGAAAAAAAAAAUGGUCUCUGAAGAACGAUACCCCUAAAGCAUCGUGUUUCCACGACCAGCGUCUCCAUUCCUUUAACUACUAAUAAGAAAAAAAAGUAGAAUAGCGGGCUAUCAAGAAUGGUGUUAUAAAGUAGGAAAUGCUGAUGAAAUUGGCAAUGCGUCUUGACAAUGAACAGUGUAACCUGCUUUAUUUACCUUUCAAAGGAAUCGUGAAUCGUUCCGAACGAUGUGGCCAAGUGCUCUACUCUUCGGGGCAUUCUUUUCAUGAACGAAUUCUCCAUGCAGCAGUUGUGCAAUGAAGAUAUGAAAUUCGAUAAGUUGCAUCGCUCAACGUCUUUUAGAGUCUAGACGCCUUGAUUCCCGGAGCUCUCUCCUCAAUUUCGUGCAGGAUUCACCCCCAUCAUUUCAUUAAAUCUCGAGAUUCGAUGAAUGUGGACAAUUUGCCCGGGCCUGGAGUUGAAUCCCUCAUUUGAACGCAUUUGCGACUCUCCGGUCCCCUAACAUCACGAAGCUUCAAGCACCCUCUAAUGUCCAGAUAUGUCAGGUUAUCAAAGCACGAGAGGUCUGGUAAUCUUUCAAUGGAUCUGCACCCUUUGAUGUCCAAUUUUUUCAAGUUUUUCAAUAGAUGUUCAAGGCCAUCAAGGUUGGACAACUUCCAGCAUUCAGAUAACUUAAGUUUUGCUAAAGAUUUUAAUGCUUCCAGACCCUUGAUUUCUCUCAGCUUGAUGCACGAAUAGAGGUCUAACUUUGACAAGAAUUUCAAAUUUGACAAACUUCGUAACUCCUUCAACUCAUCACAAUCAUGGACAUAAAGCUUCAAUAAUCCUGAGGGAAGCUCCGGCAUGGAUUCCAGCAAUGGGCAAUCCAAAACAAUGAGCUCUUUUAGGAGGAUUAGAUGGGAAAGUUGAGGCAAUUUGUGAUGCUGACAAGUGACUCCCAAAACUGUUAAACAGGCAGGAAGCUUUGGCAACGACUGAAGACUGUCACAAUUUCUUAACUCAAGGUGUUGUAGAGAAGGCAACUUACUGAUGCUUUGUGGCAAUGAUUGAAGCAUCUUGCAGUCAUAUAAAUCAAGCUUCUCAAGAUGAGAAAGUUUAUCAAAUGCGUCAGGGAAGCCGGAAAUGCGUGUAUGACUUAAUUGAAGGAUUUUUAGUGAGGACAACCCAUCUACAUGAAUUUCCCCUUCUAGACUCUCACAUCCUAUGGCAUUUAAUUCUUCAAGGUUGGCCAACUUGUUAAUAGUACUAGGUAAAUUACUCAGUUUCUUACUAUUAUAAAUAUUCAAAAUUUUCAAGUUUUUUAAAUCUCCGAUGGAUUCGGGUAAUUCACAAAUGCCUGAUCGUGACAAUAAUAAUUCAGUCAGACAUUCCAACUUUCCAAUUGAGUUGGGAAUAUGAUGGAGAGCACAAUCAAAUUGUGAAUCUUGUGAAACCCCCACUCCGCUUAAUGAUAGGCAUUGCAAUUUUAGAAGGGAUCUGAUGCUAUCUGGAAGUCUACAUAACUUGAAGCAAUCAUUCAAGCGAAGGGUCGACAAAUUUACCAAAUUGCUAAUUGAGUCAGGAAUUGCAACCAAUGAUCCGCAACUACUGACAUCAAGCACCUCCAACUUCUCCAAAAAACCGAUGCAUGGAGGAAUUUCCUCUAUAGCAGUCCUGCCUAUGUAAAGUUCCUUCAGUUCUUUCAAUUUGCCCAUUUCUUGGGGUAGCUCUUGGAGUUUCUCACAUCCUUCCAAGUUCAAAAAAAUGAGACCCUUGGCUUCCCCAAUAGAAGGGUGAAUUCGCUUCAGAUUACUACAUUCACGGAGGACUAACACCUCCAAAUUUCGAAAGGCUGAGGGAUCAGGAGUUGCAUUUAAACAAUGGCAAGAUUCAAGAAAUAGAACUUUUAACUGCUUUGCCACCUGCAAAAUAAAAUGAUAGAUAAAUUUUCUCUAAGAAUAAGUCAUUGGAAACAAAAGACAAAACAAGAUGCUCUCUUUCUAACCUCGAGAUGACUCCAACCUUUCCAAAGUUCUGAAACGUCACUUUUUGAUAAGUUAAGUAUGACUAAUUUCUCUAGAUGAAAACUAGUGGGCACAAAUGCAAGACAUCCCAUCCACUCAAGGCAUCGUAACUUAGGAAACAAGUCCUUGGAAUCUCCGAUCAGUUUUGCAUCACCAACUUCAAGGAACCUUAAGUUCGGUAGUGUCUCAAAUUGCUUGGUUGUGAAUUCCCUCUGCGAUCUGUCACUGAUGGCCUGAACACGAACUUUUUCAAUUCCCUUCACAAAUGUUGUUGCCUCAAGUCAGCCAACAAUGGACCCAUUAUCACUUUGCCUUCAUUCUAUGGUCGUGAAUUUGAUGCUUAGUCUGACCAGAUUUUAUCAUAUAUGUGAUUAUUUGCUUUUCUAUGAUGAACUUCUUCCCUUCUUUUGUUUAUGCUAUUUGCUUCGUUCUUUUUCAGUGCAAUAGGUCAUUUCCAGGGAAAAAACACGAUAGGUACAUCGAAUAAUGACUUGGAAUCAAUAAAUGCUGACACCAAGUGCACAAAAGCAACCACUAAAGUAGCAAGGAGUUCAUCGUUUAAACCAAAAUAUUUCUUCUUUUUUAAAUUCAUUCCAAUCAAGAUAAUUUCAUGUCAAAAGGAAAGAGAACAAUGACAAAGGUUACGAUUACCUUAUUUCUCUGAAAUACUUCCAAGGCUUCCUCAUGCACCCACAACCUACUUCGAUUCAUAGGCACAUCGUAAUCUUCUUGACGAACAAUUUCUCUACCAAGGUCUCUCAGUUGGUCAUGCAUUUUCAACUCUCCAUCAUCUCCAAUUUUUAUCAGCGACAUAAAAAUCAAUCUUUCAAUCCCGAUCCUUGGAAGAAGAUUACAGGCAUCCCACAUGUAAGAUACAUAUCUUAAAUCAUAUCCAAUGAAGAAACAAGCAAUAUCCAAAAAUAUUUGUUUUUCCUCGUAGUUUAAUGCAUUGUAACUUAUCCUCAGCUUCUCUUGCACUUCCAUAUGUGGUUUUUCCUUUAAUUUCUUUAAUGUGUCUUGCCAAAAUGCUCGGUUUCGCCCAAACAAAGACGAACCUAUAACCUCAAGGGCUAAGGGAAGCCCUCCGGUAGUGGAUACGAUGGCAUGAGAAAGAGACUCAAAUUCACACGAAGGAUAGUCCCUUAGAAAGGCAUGCCUACUAAAUAAGAUCAAAGAUUUAUCCUUGGGGAUUUCCUUGAGUUCGUACCUGCUGGUCACCCCGGCUUUGUCAAGGACAGACCUUAUUCUUGUGGUAAUGAUUAUCCUACUUCCCAUCAUAAACCACUCAUGUUUCCCAACCAAAGCUUUGAUUUGAUCGAUAUGAUCCACAUCAUCUAGAAGAAUUAGGACUCUCUUAUAUUCAAAUCUAGAUUCCAUAAUCCUGAUUCCUUCAUCCAUAUUAGAUGCUUGAUUGUUCAUUUUUUGUAAAUCAAAUAUUAAUUGAUUUUGUAAACAUGAAAUGCCCUUGCGUUGCGAGGAUUCUCGAAUAUCUGCAAUGAAACUACGAUGUUGAAAUUUGUCAAAGAGCUUGUUGUAGAUGACCUUAGCUAAAGUUGUCUUACCAAUGCCCCCCAUUCCAUGAAUACCGACCAUUUGGGUGGCAUUGGGUUUAUUAUCCAGCACUCUCAAAAUAUCCUCCACAGCAUUAUCAAUUCCAAUAAGUUGUUCAGUAACAACCAACUGAAAGGCCUUCUUUAACUCGCUCAAAACUUUUCUUACCACUAUUUUCACCAAUUGUCCUUCGUGGCUGUUUAAUGCAUUCAAGCUAAAAUACAUUAGAAAAACAAUCAUAUCAUGUUAUAUCUCGUUAUCAUGACACCACAAGCAUGUAAGAGCAGGGAAAAAAAGGCAAGCACAAGUUGAGAAACACACGAAUGUAUAGCCUCAUCCUCACCUACAAGCAAGAUCCUGUUGAAAGAAAGUAAACAAAACAAGGCUUCGAUAGAAAAUGAAAUACCCGAGAGCAGUUUUCUCUGAUUCCCAUCCCUUUAGGGAAGCCACUUCUUGGAGUGCUUGUUUCCAUUUCGCAACAUCUUCUUCCAAAUACUUCCUGUUUAAAUGGGAGAAAGUCUUUCCAAAGCUUUCUAUCUGGUGUCGCACAUGGCCCGGUUCAACUCGGUAAAAUAUGGGCAAGACAAAGUGCCCAAUGCUUUUCAUGCACUCUAUCAUCUCAGCAAGCUCUUGAAGGCACCAUUUGCUUGAAGCAUAAUUCUGAGAGAGAAUUGGAAUCGAGAUCUUACUGUUCUUAAUGGCCUGGAGAAGGUUGUUGCUGAUCUUCUCACCUUCGCGAAGCUCAUUGUCAUCUUUGAACACACGAAUUCCAGCAUCAACUAGGCUGUUGUAGAGGUGAUCCGUGAAGGUUUUGCGAGUAUCGUUGCCGUUGAAGCUCAAGAACACAUCAUAGUUAUCACUUCUCGCUGGAGCAGCAGAUGAAUUAGACGUGUCAAUAUCAUCACCUUUUCGAUGUGUGUUCUUGUUGCUUUUGACAAAAUUGCGUGCGAGCGUAGAAAGAAGAAUCGACCCGACCAACACCGCAAAAGAACGCACAAACACUGGAUCACAUUUCAUUUUUACUUCUCCUAUAACUCUCGAACUGGGCUCUCUCUGUCAAUAUCGAAGAAUGAAAUGCCUCUAUUCGGGUUGCCCAAUAAGAUGACUGGGCAGAGCUGAGUUUUUGGUACUUCGUACUUCAAGGGGCACAAGGAUCGGAAGGGAACUAGUAGACGAAAGGAAAACGCAACAACGAAGAUGAAUCGACUAUAUUUGUCACAACCUGAAUCUUAAAGGGAUGAGGGUGACACGGCCGUCCUUCCUCCUAAAGGAUGCAGCCUCAAACCACCUAAAGGCCAGCUCCCAAAAGCCCCCACAAUGACGCUCUUGCUUUAAUGGCCACUAAUUCAGGGACCUGAAAAAUAUGAUAAGAAGAAAUGAAUGAGCUACCACGGUCUAAUGAGUAAUACAUUUCUUCUAAGUGAAUCAAGGAAUCACUACGCAAAUUUAAAAUACAAACAUAACUCACUUUCACCAAAUCCAGAAAUUUAACAAACUUUCAAGGCCAAAAUAUAACCUUUCUUACUUUACCACAAUAUAUUCAAAGCAAAAAUAUUCAAGAUAAUAAUAAACAAACACCAAUGGUCCAACCAUUGGUCAAUCUCAUAAAAAUACACAUCAAUGGUCCAUCCCAUUGACUAAUCUAAUGCCACACAUCAAUGAUCUAUCUCAUUGAUCUACCUUAUAUGAUACCACACGUCGAUAGUCCAUCCAUCGACUAAUCUUUUACUCAAUAUCAAACCAUUGUCACAACACAACGCCUAAUGACAAGGCGACCAAGAUUCCCCCUUUGGCAAGGUCUCCACCUAUUAUUAGUCGAUGGCUCGGCCUACAAGAAUAUCAUAAACUAGUAUACGCAUAUCUACAAGCCCCUCGCUGGGCUCAUAGCGAUAUUGAGCAUCAACAUCGAUCUACAACAACCUCCAAAAUUCACAAAGCCGAACCAAUAUAUAAUAAUAAUAAUAAUAAUAAUAAUAAUAAUAAUAAUAAUAAUAAUAAUAAUAAUAAUAAUAAUAAUAAUAAUAAUAAUUUGAUUUCGCAAAUUGAAAACACAUAAUCUUUUCUCAUUCACCAGAAAUGCUUUUCGUAAGGCCUUUUUCAUGUCAUUUCAGAACUCGUUUCUUAAAAUAGAAUAAAUUUCACAUAUCUUUUCACAACACAUUUUAUAAAGCAAGUUCACAAAUCAACAUACACACACACACGUAACCUUUCGGAAUAACUUUUCAAAAACAUUUGGCAAACCAUUCACAAAUAUGAAUCCGUAGUAAAAGCUCGAUCCAGAUUUUAUGCAACAAGAUAUGCUUUCGAUAACUUAUGAUCCAUCAAAUCUCCCUAGCUUUCAAGACACGAGUUUACAAACUCAUAGUAAAAAUAGUAUCACUCACCUGAGAAAGCCUAAACCAACCUAUUAGAGUUACUCGAGCCCACGUACUCAAAUUCCUAACAAAUAACCGAAAAAAAUAUCAAAAGACUGAGUAAAAUGAUAUUUUUAUAAAUGAUUCAAUUAUACUAUGCAUAUUUAUCGAUAAAACAACAUCUAUGCGCCAACCAAUGCUUGCCCAUAGCAAAAAUCUAUUGUUGUCCCAUCGUGCUCUAAACUUGUUCAGGCCAUAAUUUCCUCCACAUAGGUUCUUUUCAAAUAAGCGUACGGUCCAUAGAAAACCAUUCGAUGUACUAAAAAACCCCAACUCAGCCACUCCAAAAACUCACUGAAAACAGCGAAAUUCAAGCCUGAAAGUUAUUGUUUGGAACCCCACCAGCGCACACGACGAACUUUGAAUUUUUUUUCCAGGCAAACUGUAAGCCCAAAUUGAGAUCCAUAAAAUUCUAUAGUUUCACAACACUUUAAACUAUCAUUUCUAUAAAAAUAUACAACUCAAUGACUCAAAAAUCAGACUUCGCCGCAUGAAUCUCUAAUAAUUCCGAAUUUUAGUCCUAACCUUGAAAAAUAAUCUAAUUAGAAGAACGAUAGGCACGAACGUUUACCGAGCAUUACAAAUCGGAGUUGAAUCGGCUUGAGGAGGCACCCAUGACGAGAAUCCUCUCUUUUCUUCCUUCUUCUUCUUCUUUCCCUUCCUUUCCCUCCUCUCCUUUUCUUCUGCCCGAAUGUGAUUCUCCUUUUCCUUUUAUCUCCUCCCCUCUCUCUUUUUUUUUUCUCUCUCUCUCUUUCCUUCUUUUCCCGCAUGCUCUCGGUGCCUCCUCCUCUUCUUCUUUUCUCUUCUUUUCUGCUUUGACUUUUCAACAUUUAUUUUCCUUUUGUAUUUUUGUUUUUGCUGGUCCCACAAUGCCAUAUCUUACAAUAUUGGAUGGUUUUGAGCUCGAAAUGGACAUUCGACUAUGUCUGGGCCAUAAUCAUAUCGUCUCCGAUAAAGAGGAAGGAGGGAAAGCAGGAGGCGAGGUGGGAGGAUGAAGGGCGAGACAGAGCUUGACUGAUAAUAAAGAAUCUAUCAAAGUGUCACACAAUUAAUACAUCCGUAUUGGGAAUCUAGAGGUGCCUUCCUCCUGGCGAAUACAUCCGGCAGUAGUUCUAUCUCUAUGUUCUAACUCGGAAGCUAUUCGUUGUUGGAGAGUUGAACUCUCUCUGUGUUUAAUACAGAAAGAACAUGAAGAAGCCUUUCCAUUGCCUGAGGAGAAAAAAAAAUAUGGCCUAGCUUUUUGAGUGAGUUUGAAAGCAUGAGGACACGUUAAUAACUUACUAUAGUGUAUAGAAUAUUUUCUUUUGGUCACAUUUAUAGAAAAAAAAAAAAACUAGACUUUCCAUCGAUAAAGGCAAAUUAUUAGAGCACCACAACAAGAUGACCUCUAUGGAAAAAGUACAAUUAUUGGAGCACACACGCUAGAACAAUUAUUGGAGCCGACAGAGGGUCUUUUUACUGGUAACUCAUAACAGUCUUCACCGCUGUCGAUUCCAAACCGUAAAGUAUCUUUGGACUAGCGCGUCUCCCAUGCAAAGCGAGUUCCAGCUGUUGCUGUUCCGAAUGCUUCCAGUCUUGGCCAGAGAAAAUGUGAGGUAGUCUCGAAUUGUCACGUCAUCGUGGUCUCUCCCUAUUCGAAUUGUGACACUUAGAACGAAAAAGCCAAAAAAAUAAAGGGUUGAUACUCUGAAAAACCCUAAAUUAGUAUAUUUGUGACAAAUUUACUCAAAACUAUUUUUUUGACCAUGAAAAAUCCAAAACCGGUACACCUGUGACAAAUUUACCUCGACUGACCAUAAAAAAUCAUAAACUGGUACAUUUAUGACAAAUUUACCCCAAACUAGUGAAUUUGUGAUAAAUAUGCCCUCUGCUAAAUUGUAUUAAUACCACAAAAAGAUCACAAAAAUUGUAAAUUGUGACAAAUGGAGCGUAAAAUCUCAGAUUGGUAUAUCAGUCAACUGUCACGUGUCAUUUAACUUUUUAAUUUGAUAGUAAAUUUAAUGAAAACUAACAUAGGGUAAAUUUGUCACAAGUGUACCAGUUUGGGGUAAAUUUGUCAAAGGUAUAUCAGUUUAGGGUUUUUUAUGGUCAAAAAAAUAAUUUGGGGUAAAUUUGUCACAGAUGUACCAGUUUGGGGUUUUUCAGGGUAUUAACCCAAAAAUAAAAAAUUGAAAAGAAAGUCGCGAUUAAAAGUGGGUGCCUUGCUGCUAUCGCUACUCUCUCUCCUCUCACUUUCAUCUUCCUCCCUCUUCGCCGUUAAGCUCAUGGUCAUGGGGAAGGGGUUCGACCCAGACGAAAUGUACGCCGCAUGAUACAGAGUAAAUAAGGGUGCGCAUGACAACGCUUAUUGGCUGGAGAAGAGUUUUUUUUUUUUUUUUUCAGAAAUAAUUCUUUUUUAUUUCUAUUUCAGGGAACAAUUUUUAAGUAAAGAACGCGUUUGAUAACUAUACAAAAUUUCUACUAUUAGAAUAGAAAAAGAAUAGAAAUGCGUCUGGUAACGCAACAGUUUCUUUUUUGUAUUUAUUCGUUUUUUAUUCUUGUACACGGAUCGCCAAUCGCCAAUCGCCACCCACUGCUGCCCAUCGCCGCUGACCGCUACCACUACACGACUGUUGGCCGCUAGCUGCCGUCGCUGCGGCGAACGGGCGGCAGCGGGAGGUGGCGACUGAUGGGCUAUGCAGCGGCGGGCGGUAGCGGAGGGCGGCAGCAGGCAGCAGCGAGGGCGGCGGCGACUGGCGACCGGCAAAGGCAGCGGCGGGCGACAGCGGCCGACCGUAGGCGGUGGCUCCGGGCGGUUGAAAGUGACUGUGGCAAGAGAGAAGAAUAAAAGAAAAAAAUUGACCUAUUUCUAGAAAUUGUUCUUAGGAAUAAGAAGCAAUUUUUUUUUUUUGUUUCUCGUUUUUGCUCCAAAUCUAUUCCCGGGCUAACUUUCUAUUCCGGGGAAUAGAAAAACAACUUGGCGUUACCAAACGGAUUCUGUUCUUUUUUUGUUCCGAGGAACAAAAGAACAGAAAUUCAAAGAAACAUAAAUGUUACCAUGUGCAGCCUAAGUUAUUGAUUGCCUUUAGAGUUUACCUCUAUUUUAAGCAAAUGCAACGGACAUUCUUUCCCAAAGUAACGCUUGAACGAUUUCUAUCCGCACGAACCUCAAUUUCAUGGUAGAGUCAGCAACUUUAUAGUGCCACUAGGCUAACGGUCAAUAACAAUGAACUUUCCCAACCAUGUAUCCCAAAUUUAGCGAGAGAGGCAACCGAAAGGUCAAGUUUGGUCUUUUCAUCUUAUUUUAGCCGAUUUUUUUUUCUGCUUAAAAGUUUAAAUUGGGUUAUGUGCAAUAAAUUUGCAACACUCACUUUAAACCGAAAAAAGAAAACUCAAACACACUUUUGAUACGUCAAAAUAGAUUAAUAUAAACUCUUUUUUUUUUUUUUACUAACAUAGUUGGGGUUGUGUUAUAAAUGAGUUGUUAGAUAUUCGAAGGAUCGAGGGAAAUAAGUUUAAAAUAUUAAAAUCCAACCAGAGUGGUUAUGGACAAGGCCAUCUCUCACUCCUCCUUCCAGUCUCGACUGCGUGCAUGACCUGUUGGAGGGUAUGAAACAGCCGUCAUGUUCCGUGUAAGAUGGAAAUAGUUCUGAAAACUAUGGACCCCAUAGCAAAAUAUAUUCAGAAAGCACUCAUAAAGUCGCAUAUCCACAUGUCACAGGUUGGUCGAUUACGAUCGAUCAAACACCGUGCAGCCUUAGGAUUUGUGAUCCCAAGUCAGCCUUUUCACACACACGCAUGAACACAAGGGUCGGCUGCACAAAGGAGUAAGUGUUUUUACUUAUGAACAAACUAAAUACAAUGAGGGGGAGGGACCCCUAUAUAUACAAGUUCGGGUCGUAUCUCGACUGUUGAUCGUCCCUUCGAUCCAACGAUUGAGUUGGAACGAUGGUCAUUAUUACAAGUCUACACAGUAGGCCACUCAAUGGCUCUAGGCCUUAGAAAAACCCAUCAGCGCAUGUCAGAAGCAAGGUCAGGGUUUGCAUGGUCGCCUGACAUGGAGUAGGUGAACCACUGCAGGUUGCACAUGGGCUGCCUGAACACUGAUCAUGGGUUGGUCAUUGGUUGUGCACGAACUUUUGCUCGUAUUGCGCAUGGGCUGAUUGUGCACGUUUCAUGGAUCGUUCAUGGAUCAAUUGGGGCUGUUCGUGGGCAAAGCCCUUGUGCAGGACACGGCGCCAUCACGGACGAUCUUGGACCAUGCAUCGUCCGUGGGCCAUGUCAUUCUCCCCCACCUAAUCGGGCGACGCCCUCGUUGCGUUGGUGGCAUAGAAGGCUUUGAUGUGUUUCCUGAACUACCAUAGGCCCUCGGAGGGUUUCCAACUUGCUUCACUCUCAGGAAGGCCCUUCCAUCGGACGGAGUAUUCCUUCUUUGGCGCACAAUAUCUCUUCCCUAUGAUCCAAUCUAGCAUGAUGCAUUCAAUGUCCCGAUCAUAUGAGGUUUUCGCUCUAAGGGGCGCCCGUUGUGAUUUGCCUCGAUCCAGAUCCUCCUUGUCCGCAUGGAAAGGUUUCAGCAUGCUCACAUGGAACACGAGAUGUACCUUGAGCUUGGCCGACAAGUCUAGCUUAUAUGCCACCUUCUCGAUCCACUGCAACACUCGGAAGGGGCUCUCUUAGUGACGGAGCAGCCAUUUGUGCACAUCACGGUACCGAAUGAACUAGUGCAACUUAGCCAACACCAAGUCUCCGACCCAAAAUUCCAUGUGCCGUUGCUUCUUGUCGGCCCACUUCUUUGUGUGUUUUGCAACUUUAUUUAGGCACACCCACACCAAGUCCAAAUGUUCAUCCCAUUCCUUAGCGAACUUGUACGCGAAGGGGCUGUUUCCUCGAUGCCCUGAGGCAAUCACGCUUGGUGUAAGUGGUUUACCUAGUCACAAUCUCAAACGAGCUCUGGUUCAUGGACUCGCUCUUCUGCAAGUUGUAUGAAAAUUAGGCCACAUCGAUCAGUCGUGCCCAAUUUACUUGCAUCUUGCUUAUGUAGUGCCGGAGGUAGAUUUCUAGGAGUGCAUUCACCCGCUCCGUCUGUCCGUCGGUUUGGGAAUGCAUGCUCGUGGAGAAGUUGAGGUUCGUCCCCAACAACUUGAAGAGCUUAAUCUAGAACCACCCGGUGAAACGAGGAUCGUGAUCGCUCACGAUCGUGCCGGGAAUGCCCCAAUACUUGACAACAUGCUUGAGGUAUAGCUUAGCCGCUUCCUCGGCUGGGCACCUUCGUGGCUGGCACGAACGUCGAGUACUUGGAGAAACGAUCCACCACAACCAUGAGGAUUCAACACCCUUCAAACUUUAGCAAAUUCACGAUAAAGUUCAUGGAGACGCUCUCCCAUGGACGUUCUGGGAUAGGCAACGGUUCAAGGAGCCCUGCCGAUGACCGUUGCUCUAUCUUGUCUUGUUGACACACAAGACAUGUCCGCACGUUGGCUUCAACGUCGUCCCUCAUGGGCGGCCAAUAAUAUUGAUCCUUGACGAGCGCCAUGGUGCAGUGAAUUCUCGGAUGACCUACCAAUUUAGAGUCGUGGCACUCGUGUAGGACUUCUUUUUGGAGUUUCCCAUGGAGCGGCACAUAGAGUCGUCGUCCUUUGGUGUAAAGGAGAUCAUUCUUACACAAAAAAUCGCCUCGUCUUGCCCUCUUGGGCCUAUAGAAGGAGGGCGUGAGCCGUUUGGUCGUGCUUUAGCCCGUCCUUGAUACGAUCUAUCUAUGGACAAUUGGGUCGACUCCUCAUGUUGGCCAAUUCCAGCUUCCUGCUUAAGGUGUCGGCCAUGAAAUUGGUCUUUCCGAGCUUGUACUCCAGCACAUAAUCAAACUCAUCUAGGAAUUCUUGUCAUCGAGCUUAUUUUUGGCUGAGCUUAUUCUAGAUUUGAAAGUAGCUCGUGGCCACAUUAUCAGUCCUCACGACAAAACGCGAUCCCAAGAGAUAGUGCCUCCACAUACAAAGGCAAUGCACCACCGCGGUCAUUGCUUUCUCUUGGACCGUGUAUCGUUGCUUAGUAUCGUUCAAUUUCCGAGACUUGAAGACAAUCGGAUGCCCUUCCUACAUCAAGACACCACCGAUAGCAAAAUCAGUAUCAUCGGUUUCUACCUCAUAAGGCUUGGUAUGGUCGGGCAGCACAAGCACCGGCUCUUCAGUCAUGGCCCGCUUCAACCGAUCGAAUGCCUCUUGACACCGAUCCGUCCACUCCCACGGCCUUUCCUUUUUCAGCAUGUUUGUUAGUGGCACAAUAAGGCUCGAAUAUCCCCGGAUGAAGCGCUGAAUGUAGUUUGUGAGACCAAGGAAGGAUCUCAACUUCGUCACCUUGGUCGGUGGCUCCCAUUCAAUGAUGGCACGGAUAUUAACCGCGUCCAUCCGCAUUCAUCUGCCCGCGACGAUGUGCCCAAGGAAAGGGACUUCUUUUUGUGCGAAGGCACACUUCUCACGUUUCACAUAUAAAUCAUUUUCCCGUAGGAUUUGGAAAACUCGACUCAAAUGCUCGACGUGUUCCUCGAGCAUCUGGCUAUAUACAACGAUAUCAUCAAGGUAAACCACAACGAACCGAUCAAGGAAUGGAUGUAGUACCUCAUUCAAUGAGAGUGCAAAAUGUAGCCGACGCAUUGAUCAAGCCAAAAGGCAUGACAAGGAACUCGUAUGAUCCGUAAUGGGUCACGCACGCGAUUUUCGGCUCAUCCCCUUUGGCAAUCUGAACUUGGUAGUAUCCCGAUCGAAGAUCAAGCUUGGAGAACCGUUGGGCUUCCCCAAGCUAAUCGGACAAGUUUGCAAUAAGAGGGAUUAGGUACUUGUUCUUGACGAUGAGUUUGUUCAACGCCGGUAGUCUAUCCACAUGUGGAGGGAUCUGUCAUGUUUCUUUUAGAACAAGAUCGGGGCACCAAAUGAGGCCUUAGAUGGGUGAAUGUACCUUGUGUCGAGCAGCUCUUUGAGUUAUUUUCUCAGUUCUUCCAAGUCAGGCGGGGCCAUGAGAUAAGGUGCCAUCGUCGACGGUCGAGCAUCGGGCACGAGCUCGAUCCGAUGGUCCACUUCUCUUCGAGGAGGCAACUUCUUGGGCAGCUUAGGAGGCAUCACAUCUUGGAAGGUGUUGAUGACUUGAGCCACCUCUCCCGGUACCUCACUUUCUUCCAUGCCCUCCUUCUUCAACGCUGCCAAGAAGGUCACCUCGCCCUUUCGUAACCCUUUUGUUAGCUGCAUGGCCGAUAGUAUUUUCCUAUCGCAUCCCGAUUUGCGGUAGAUUGGGACCAUGCAUUGGCACCGCUUAUUAAGGAUGCAAAUACAAUCUACGAAGGGCAUAACGCCCGCAUUGAUCCAAUCGAGGAAUCCUAAACCAAGCACGAAAUCAUAGUCCCAAGGGGGAUUACCUCAAUGUCCUCCCAGUUGGUCCAUGGACUGAGGUAAAGCUCUACGUCCCUAGCCAUGCCACUAGUCGGGACUUCUCUUAGUUCACUGUUUUAAGCCAACCGGCUUUUCCCGUCUUGACCAAAAGAUUCAACUUCUUCGCGGCCUCUUUGGAUAUGAAGAGGUCGGAUGCCCUGGUAUCUAGAAUCGCACUCAUCGUGGUUCCACCGAUCUUUACAUCCACGAACAUCAUUCCUUUAGACUCCUUGGCUUUCUUGGUCUUGAUCGACCCAAAGAUCCACAACAAUCCCAACCGCGCCUCCUUACACGGCUUAUUUUCCUUGCAUAAGGCUGCCAACUUUCCUCUUUUUAGGUAAUCACGGGCCAUAUGGGGACCGUCACAAAAGAAGCACUUGUAGGUGUGUACCUUGUGAUGGUAUCCUACGUUGCUCGAUUUGGGUUGAGUUCUAGGAGGAACUGAUUGUGGUUUGUCUCCGCUCGGACGAUUGUACCGGCUCUGAUCUCCCCCACCAUUGGUCUUUUCUCUCGGAUGAGAGUCCGGCUUAGCCGAGGAUGAUAGCUUACAUUCCAUGAGGGACUUGGCCACAGAAGUAGCCAUUGAGAGAUCCAUUGCAUGGCAUCGUUUGAGCUCCUGCUUGACCCAUUGGACGGAAUUUGGAGUAGCAGUUCCGAGAACCGUUUCACGUAGUCAUGGACUCUGCCUUUCUGUUCUAGGUGUUUGAGUUCCCCAUGAGCUUCCUCCUUCACAUAAGCGGGGAAGUAUUCAUUGAAAUUCUUCCACAAAUGUCAUCCAUGUCGUGAUAGGGUCACCACUCCUAUCAUCCGACUAGUGACACCACCACAGCAGCACAUCAUCAGCUAAAUACAUGGCUGCAGUGCUUAAUCGAAUCACGUCAUCGGUCAUUCCCAUGGUCUGGAAGUAUCGUUACAUGUACCACAGAAAGUUGUUCACGUCCUUUGCCACUUGUGAGCCUUUGAACUCUUUCGGCUUGGGUGCAUCGGCGUGUGGUUGCACGGUGAUCACCCCAUUCAAGCAUACAGCUUCAAGCUUGGCGAGCUUGCUUUUCAGCUGGGUCAUCUCCAUGCGAAUGGCCACCAUCACAACCUCCCAGGUCUCGUCUCGUUGUUAUAGCUCGUGUGUGAGGGAUCCCAGCACCUCGACAUGGAGCUCUCCCAUGCCAGUCUUGAGUUGUUGCACUUUGGCCAAGAACUCUUCCCUACCAGCUUCCACUCCAUCGACGGUCUGUUUUAGGUCAUCCAUCAACGCUUGGAUGUCCGUGACGAUCUCCUCUAGGACCGUCAUUCGGUUCUCCAAAUCACCCUUUGGAUCCCUUGAGCUCGACACAAAACAGUUCUUCUUCGACCGAGUGCCUUUCUCGGUUGGAUGCCCAUGAUCUUCUUGGUCAUCGUCUUGCACGACCGAUACAUCAACAUGAGGAUCAGCCAUUGCGCUUGGAACAAUCGCUCUAAUACCACUUGUCACGGGUCGAUCGAUUACGAUCGAUCAAACAUUGUGCGGCCUUAGGAUUUGAGAUCCCAACUUAGCCUUUUCACACACAUGCACGAACGCAAGGGUCGGUUGCACAAAGGAGUAAGUGUUUUUACUUAUGAACGAGCUGAAUACAAUGAGACCCCUAUUUAUAUAAGUUCGGGUCGUAUCUCAGCCGUUGAUCAUCCCUUAGAUCCAACGGUUGAGUUUGAAUGAUGGCCAUCAUUAUAAGUCUACAAAGCAGGCCACUCAAUGACUCUAAGCCUUAGAAAAACCUAUGGACUCAUGUCAGAAGCAAGGUCAGGGUUUGCAUGGCUGCCUGACACGGAGUAAGUGAACCACUGCAGGUUGCAGAUGAGCUGGCCAAACAUUGAUCAUGGGUUGGUCGCUGGUCGUGCAUGGGAUUUUGCUCGUAUCGCGCAUGGGCUGAUCGUGCACGGUUCAUGGAUCGUUCAUGGAUUGAUCAGGGCUGUUCGCGAGCAAAGCCCUUGUGCGGGACAUGGCCGCAUCACUGACGAUCUUGGACCAUGCAUCGUCCAUGGGCCGUGUCACAUGGCUCUUACCUUCGCUUUCACAUUUUAAUUUUAUGCUAAAAUAGAAAUAUCAUUUAAUAUAAAAAAUUGCGAAAAUAAACUUUUGAGUAACUUUUUUUUAACAAAAGAAUGUCUUCAAGGGUUUUUUUUUUUUUUUUCAAAAAACGUUCUCAAGGGUAGGCUACAUUUCAAUAAUAAAAAUUCCAAAAAACGCAACGAAAGUUGAGGUUGAUAGAUAUAAUGCACGACCGUGCAAUUCGUACCAAACGCUCCUCAACUAAAUCUUCACCUCUGGUCUCUCAAAUUGAGUAGCCAAAAGAUCUUUAAUGCUUGAUUGUCAUGUUAUUUGAUAAAUUUGGACAAGAUUAAGGGGUUGUUUGUUAACAUUCUUUUUUUUUUUUUGUUUAUGAACAAAUUUUCUGUUUUUUUGUUCCAGGGAACAAAAAAAGAACAUAAAUGCGUUUGUUUGCGUUUGUGCUCCAAAUCUAUUUUUUUGUUCCCAGGAACACAUUUAAAACAGAAACGAGAAACAAGAAAAAUAUGUUUCUUGUUUCUGGAACAAUUUUUAAGAACAAAUUUUCUCUCUCCUCUCUUUUUCUUCUCUUUUUUUUUUCUUCUUUUCUUUUUCUUUUUUCUUUGGCCGGCGGCCUCGCCCAGCCACGGCGAGGCUCGCAGGCCCCCAGCGAGGCCGAGCCUCGCCGUGGUUGGGCGAGGCCGCCGGCCAAAGAAAAAAGAAAAAGAAAAGAAGAAAAAAAAAAGAGAAGAAAAAGAGAGGAGAGAGAAAAUUUGUUCUUAAAAAUUGUUCCAGAAACAAGAAACAUAUUUUUCUUGUUUCUCGUUUCUGUUUUAAAUGUGUUCCUGGGAACAAAAAAAUAGAUUUGGAGCACAAACGCANNNNNNNNNNNNNNNNNNNNNNNNNNNNNNNNNNNNNNNNNNNNNNNNNNNNNNNNNNNNNNNNNNNNNNNNNNNNNNNNNNNNNNNNNNNNNNNNNNNNUUUGAUAACCCUUCCCCCCAGCAGAGGCUGGGCGAGCUUAAGCUCGCCGGAUCUGGGUGAGCCCGAGCUCGCCCAGCCAAGGUGAGGCCAAGCCUCGCCGACGCAGGGCAAGGCUAGGCGAGCUCGGGCUCGUCGAAUCUGGGCGAGCUCGAGCUCGCCCAGCCGAGGCGAGGCCGCCGAGGCCGGUGACAAGCCAAAAGAAGAAAAAAAGAAAAAAGAAAAAAGAAAAAAGAAAAAAGAAAGAAAAUAAAAGAAAAAGAAAAUAAAAAUAUUAAAAAAUUAAAAGAAACAAAAAAAGAAUACAAAUUUACCAAACGUGUUUCUGUUCAUUUUUUAUUCUCGGAACAAGUUUACCAAAUGCCUUCUUCUGUUCAAAAAUUGUUCCCCGGAACAGAAAUAGUUUCUAUUUCUGUUCCCCGGAACAAUUUUUGAACAGAAACGUUACCAAACGCGCCUUAAGCUUCACAAGCAUCUACAAAAUAAAAACCAUACAUUAGUGACAAGAUGUACAUUUCUCAAAUAAACUAUUGAGACAGAUGUCUUGAAUUUGAAUGUGAUUUAUCAAGACCAAACUCAAAGUCGAAACUAAGUUUGUAAUUUAUGGAUGGCCUGCAACACUUCUAUAUUUAAUCCAAAACCAAAGCCCGAAUCCGUUUUAAGAUACAGCUUGAUGAUAAUCCAAAAAAUAUCUUAGAGUAUCAUAUAUAUCAUAUGUCCUUAUUGGGAGUAUGGAGAAAACUCAAAUUUUAGCAACUACUUUAAGCAAAUACAUCCAAUAACUCAGAAGUUGACGGUAGUUGGACAUUUUAACUCUCUCUCUCUCACACACACACAAAAUAAUGAAAGAUAAUGAAGAAGCUUUCCCGUCGCCUGAGGAGAAAAAAAUAAGCAAAUUGAACUAGACUUACCAUAGCAUAGCUUUCUGAAUGAGUUUGAACACAUGUGAACAUGUUGAUGAUUUGCUAUAGCAUGCAAUGAGAACACAUGAUUGAACGAGACUUACUGGCCAAAAAUUGCAUAGCUUUCUGAAUGAAUUUGUGUGCAUUUAAGAAAGCUAAGCAAAAGUUGAACUAGACUUUCCAUUAAAAAGAAAAAAGUAGAGCAACCUUGUUCAAUUUUUAGGGGCCAGUGAAUGCACUAAUUGACUCUUUGCACUUGCAGGUCCCAAAGAAUGACUGGCAUCUUGCUUUUUUCCCCAAUGGAGGACUUUUAGAAUUAGUGCUACAAACGCAAGAUUUUUUUAAUUUUAUAUUUUUGGGUAAUAAGAAGAUUAAGAUCAGCAGAGUAAGCAAUGCGGCAGGCUCAGCAACUUAACAAUGCUGGCAUCAUCAGCUUUUCGACGUGCGCUCUUCUCGUUGCUUUGGCCAGAAUUGUGUGCGGGCGCUCGAUCACGUUUGAUUUUUACUCCGAUGAUUCGUGAACCGAUCUCUCUGUUAAUAUCAAAGAACGAAAUGCCUAUAAUCGGGUUGCCCAACAGGACGACCGUGCAGAGGGUUCUUUUUCUGGUGCUUUACACUACAAGAUGAUGCACAUGGAUCGGGAGGGAACGAGUAGACAGAUCAAUAGAGAAAGACUGGAUUUAGUCGUUGCGUGUGAUAUGGGCGUCCUCGCGAGCCACCCAUGCCCUUUCUUCUAGGAAAGUGGGAUUUAGCUGUCGGUGGGGCCCACCGAUUUGCUUCGACUGAUACAAUUUUUUUACUUGUUGCGUCCCCUUCGCAAAGUGCUUUCCAGCUGUUCUUUAUACAUGGCGGAGCUUACAUUUUUGAACUAGACGUUCAUGCUUUGAAUAAAUUAUCCGUGUUAAAGCGGGGAUACUUGAUAUGGCGAUGGCAUACACUAUUGAGCUCAUAAUUAUGGUCAUCGAUCAAUUUUUCAGAACUUUCCAUGAUAUAUAAUGCACGGUUGUCAUUUUAUUUAUAUGACUUUUGUUCGGAGUGAAGACUUUUUGUGAUCAUAUAGUGUCGAAUUUUUUGCAAAAUAAGAGAAAAGUAUAGUGGUUUCCUCGUAAACUAGGAAAAUUACUCGACUAUUUUGGAUAGUUUUGACCUUGAAACGAUUACUAUCUCCGCGCCAUAUUCACAGAGUCAUUUUUUUUUUUUUUUGGUAAAGAAAUUCACAGAGUCAUUGAUAAAAAGGAAAGAGGGAAAGCCGGAGACGAGGCGGGAGGAUGAAGCACAAGAUAGAGUUGGCUGAUAAUUCAAAGAAAUCUCAGAAAAUAUCCACAUUUCAUAUGUCCACAUUGAGAAUCUAGAGACGUCUUCAAUUUUCAGGUGACUACCUGAGGCAAGUACACCCGAUGGCGGUUCCACCUCCAUGUCCUAAUUCAAAAGCUAUUGGUAGUUGAGAGAGUUUAAGGGCGCGCAUGACAAAAUUUAUGUUUCUCUAUUUCUCUGUUUCUCUGUUCCCCGGAACAAAUUUGGAACAGAAAUCCGUUUGGUAACGCAAUUUGAUUUCUCUAUUUCUGAAACAGAUUUCUAUUCCAGAAAUAGAGAAAUUGAAGAAAUCAGAAGCUAAAAUUUUUAACUUCUCAGUUUCUGAAAUAGAAAUCAGAAACUGAAAUCAAACCAUAUAAAAGAAUCUUGCACUUUCUUACUAACUUAAUUCACUCAUAACCACAACUUCACAAAUUAUUGCUAAUUUUCUUUUUCUUAUUUUGCUCGUGUUUUUUUUUUUUUUGCAUUCUUUUUUCAAUUUGUUUUAUAACUUCCUCUUUAGGAUGAAAGGCAAUUGAAUGGGUCCUCAAUUUUCAAAAUCGACCAAAGUUCUUAAAUGCUUACUUAAAAACAAUGGGGCUCUCUCCUACUAGAAAAGGCACGCGUAUGACUAGUUGAAGAAAAAGUUCUUACGUAAUAGAUGAAUAAAAAACGUGCCUAGAAAUUUAACCUUAUUUUUUUACGAAUUCAAAAUUCUUGCAAAAUCAAAAUAAUUAGAUUGUUACACAAUCUUGAUUUUUAAUUCGAAGGCAAGAGAUUCAAGAGAAUCUCUUUCUUUGCUAUGCAAGGGCCAUUAAAGGUUCAUUGAGCAAUAAUAAAGAAAUUAGGGAUGAACAACUGGACUGAUUCAAUUCGAGAAUCAAAAUAAACCGACCUUCCCCCGAUUGGUUCCUAACCAUAAACAUUACUUUAAGGUACACCAUUAAUUUUAUUUUGUUGAUAAUCUUGUAUAAUACUAGUUUUUGAUAAAAUGACAAAAAUGUAUAGGCGCCAUUGAUGGCACCCAUAUUCAUGCUUCCGCAGUACUUGUCUGAACCUACACAGGAUGGGCUUGCAAACGAUACAUUGACCGAGAAGGGAAACCAAAUUAAUACGCUUAGGAAAACAAUUGCUAAUAAAAUAGUAAGGGAUAAUAAUAUGCCGGAAAUUCCAUGAAAUUGUAUUUUCAACUUUUGUAAUGUAUUAGUAGUAUUUCGAUUAUUAUUUUGUAUUUGAGAAUUUCCCAUGUUGUUUUAGUAUUAUUUCGACUAUUAUUUUGUAUUUGAGGAUUUCCUAUAUUGUUAUCUAAUCAAUUUUUAUUUCUAGAAAUAGAAAUUUUGUUAUGUUAUCAAACGGAUUUCUGUUUCAAAAAUAGAAAUUUUGAGUCGUUAUCAAACGGGUUUCUUUGCUCAGAAACUUGUUCGGGGAAUAGAAAUUAAGAAAUUGAUUUCUAGCCAGAAAUCAAUUUCUGUUUCAGAAAUUUUGUCAUGCGCAGCCUAACUCUCUCUUUGUUUAGUAAAGAAAGAACAUGGAGAAGCAUUCUCGUUGCCCGGGGAGGAAAAGAAUAACAAGUUGAACCAUACUUAUUGACCAAAAUUGCGUAGCUAAGUUUGGAUGACAUUGAUAACUUGAUAAUAUCAUUUAACGUGAACACAUAAUUGAACUAGACAUAAUGGCCAACUUGCAUGGCCUUUUCAGUGAUGUUAGGUGCAGUUGAAAAAGAUUAGUAAGUGGCGAAUUGUUUAUUUUUUGGGUCACGACACGUAGAGAAUAGUUUAUUUCUGUCAUAUUUUUAAACAUUACAUAAUCCCAUUGGCCGAGGAGAAAAAGAUAAGCAAGUUGAACAAGACUUUGUAGUGGUAAAUCCCAAUAAUAGUUUAUAUUGUUGGGGCCAAAUUGGAAAAUCGGCAUCAUGACAUUUAACGCUUAUGCAUGAUUGUUCCAGGAAAUUUUCACCAAGUUUAAAUCUCACUCAAACCGGAUUGGUAAUUUGGGAAACCCAUCUCGAGGAUUACUACGGCCUACGGGACAAUUCAUUUUCGUACUUUUUUCUUCCUUUUGUUUUUUUCUCAGUUCUAUUGGUUUUGAUUUUUUUUUUAAAUUAGACAACUUAUUUUAAUGAUGAACAGCUAAAUUAUGAGGCCUCACGUUCCACUCGUCUUUAAUUUUUUUUUUGGGCCAAUUGGCAUUUUUAUAAAAGGAAGCCAGCAGCACACAAAAUAUGACAUUGUUUAGACAUUUAAAGCAAUUCAAGGACUGUAUCCACUAUUUUCGUGAGUUGCUAGAAGUCGAGGCACACGUUUUGGUGAUGAAAAUUGACAUUUUGAUGAUUCAUGGAAAUUAACACGAUGACAGGAGAAAUUCUGCUGCAGAUGCCGAAUUGUACACUUGGCUGUAAUUUCCUUGGUUUUGUUGGAAAUAGAUUUUCUGCUUGGUAAAAAAUUGGCUCUAAGAAUAAAAUUGAUUGUUCCAUGGUAUUGCUUUUGCACGGUUGUCCAUUUCUCCUUAAACAUUUUUACUCCUUCAAGUAAUAGAUCACAGAAGAAAGCCCAAGCAAUAGAUCACGUAUCAUUUUUACUCCUUCAAGUAACUCACAAACGGAGUCGCUCCGUGAAUAUGAAAAGAACGAACCAUGCCUAUAUUGUGGCAGCCCAACAAGAUGAACCAGUAUGCAAAUUGUUAGAGCACCACAACAAGAUGACCUCCCUGGAAAAUGUAGAAUUAUUAGAGCACACGGGCUAGUACAAUUGUCGGAGCAGACAGGGGCUCCUUUUACUGGUGAAAGUCUUGAUCGCUGUCGGUUCCAGACCGUAAAUAUAUUUGGGCUAGCGCUUCUGCUUUGCAAGGUGAGUUACAGUUGUUGCUAUUCCGAAUUCUUCCGGUCUCGGCCGGAGAAAAUAUGAGGGAGUCUCGAAUUGUCAUGUCAACGGGGUCGUCCCAGUAUUUAAAUUGUGACCCUUGAACAGAAAAAGCAAAAAAAAGAAAUUGAAAAAAAAAAAGUCGCGAUUAAAAGUGGGGUCCCUUGCUGCUGUCGUUACUUUCUCUCCUCUCGCCUUCAUUUUCCUUCCUCUUAGCUGUAAACCUCAUGGUCACGGGGAAGGGUUCGACCGGACGAAAUGUCCGCUCCACGGUGCGGAGUGAAUAAGACACGACUGCCUUCAGAAUUCACCUAUAUUUUAAGCAAACUAAACAAACAUCCUUUCCAAUCUUCCACAAUCCAAUCUUCGCCAUGCAUUCCCUCAAUUAUGUUCUGCAUGUGCUUCAUCGUCGACCCAAUUCUCCCGAUCCAUCUUCUCCUCUGGUUCCGUCUAGUCAAUUCCCAUCUUCAUCGCCGGCCCAUCUACAUCGCCACUUCUUUUGACUGAUUCCUAUUGGCAACCCUCUUCGGAGAUUUUCCCAAUUCCCAGUGUAACAGUAUGGACCUUGAAACUGAUGCAAGGCUCGCAGCUCUCUACAAAAGAAUGGGCAGAUUAUGGGAUAAUCAGGAAAUUGAAGACUGGGAAGAUACUAUUCCAGCAGACAAAUUAGCUGAGUGCCGACAAACCUUAGUCGGUAAACUCCAUUUAAACCCUUUAAUUAACUUUUCGGCAUUCCAAUUUACUAUGAAACGUAUGUGGCGUAUAGACCAUGUCGACAUAUCUCAGAGGGAUGCUGGACUGUUUGUUUUCAAGUUUAAUUCUGAAGCUAACAAACAGCAGAUUCUGGAUAAUAGCCAUUGGUUUUUUUCAAACCACCUCCUAAUUCUACAGCCAUGGAUUCCUAAUACUCCUCUCCAUUGUUAUGAUUUUACUACAUGUGUGUAUUGGAUCCAAAUUUUCGGCUUACCUUUAGAAAGAUGUACUGAAUCUAUGUUGCGUAGAGCUGUGCAGCAUGUUGGUAAGGUCUUGGAGGUUAGCAAUGCUGCUCAAGAAGCCUCUUCCCCUCGCGCUUGGCGAGUUAGGGUUGCCCUUAAUCUGCAUGAACCCUUCAACCCUGGAAAACUGAUAAGAAUUGAAGGUAAACCCUUUUGGUUAGAUUUUAGAUACAAGCGCCUAUCCCAUUUUUGCUAUUCCUGUGGGGUUAUUGGCCAUUAUGCUUUGUAUUGCACUCUAAUUCCUUAUGAUGAUGCCAAACUGGAAGGCCGUGACAAUCUCUAUUUUGGUCAAUGGCUUCGGGCAGAAGUUAAAGAAUCUAGUCCUUUCUGGCAAGCUUUCUAUGACACUUCGAUCAAUCUAGAUACUGAGAUUGACACUGUACCUGAAACUCCUUCAACGGCCCCUCUAAUGUUGCCUGCCAUUCCCAAGAAUAUCGAUCAGCAGGCUCCAGUACUGGAGGAUAGUUCAGAUCAGCAAUGUCACUUACACAUUAAUGAUUCUCAAGGAGGUUCACGCAAGACGUCCCUUCAGCAAUAAGCUGCAAUGUACAAAAUGAAAUCCCCUGUUUCAGCUGGACCUCUUACUAUCAGUAAUACAGAUGCUGAAUCCUCCAAACCUAAGAAACUAAAAAGCCCUAGGAAAGUUACAAAAGAAAGUCCGCAAAAGAAGCUGAAGAGAUAUGCACCUUAUGACUCGUUUGCUCUUGGAUCAGUCGCACUGGCUGAUGAUCAAUUAUUGGAUACCCCUAUCAUUGAGGUUGUAGGGGUAGGCAACUAGGCGAUGGUGGCUAAAAAGCCACCAAAAGAUAAAUGAAGGAUAAUUAGUUGGAACUGUCAGAGGCUGGGCAACCCCCUGAUAGUUCAAGCUCUAAAGGACCUUGUCGUCCGGCCCGAUCUCAUUUUUUUUUAUGGAAUCUAAAAACCAAGACUCUGUUUUAGAUAGAGUGCAAAGGAAAUUACAUUACCAGCAUCGUUUUUUGGUAAGCCCCUCAGGCCUUGCUGGAGGUUUGGCUGUCUUUUGGAAUGAUCCUCUCUCUGUUUCUGUCGAGAACUUCUCAGCCCAUUAUAUCGACUUGACUUGUACCGCUAGCCAAGGUGGCACUCCUAUGAGACUCACUUGUAUCCAUGCACCUACAUCUUUCCAUCAAAGACAACAGUUAUGGAUAGUUAUCAAAGCGAUCGGCAAAUCAAAUAUAAUGACGUGGGUCUGCAUAGGAGAUUUCAACGAGAUCCUAAACCACUGGGAAAAGGUGGGUAAAAGGUUUGCUCACUCUUAUAGGAUGCGCUCAUUCCGGGACUUCUUAAACUACUGCUCACUCAUGGAGAUUGAUAGCAAAGGGUGUGCCUAUACCUGGGUUAACAACAGGAAAGGUGAGGAUUUGGUAAAGGAGAAGCUUGAUAUAGCUCUGUGCAAUAUGGAAUGGAGAUUAAAAUACCCCGCAGCUGAAGUUUUCGCCUUACCUGUCAUAGGUUCUGACCAUAAUCCGUUGUUGUUAUCACUACAACCUCCUGCCACGAGACCAAAAAAGGCCUUUACCUUUGAAGCCUUCUAGGCUAAUCAUUCUGAGUGUCGUCAAGUCAUAGCUAAUGCCUGGACAUCUCUCCCUCUUGGUAAUGCUUCUAUCUCCUGUAAGCUUCUGCUAACUACCACAGCGCUUCAAAAAUGGAGCCGUCAUAAAUUCAGCAACAGCCAACUUCGCAUUAACCUGUUAAAACAUCAACUUCAAGAUCAAAUCAACCAGCCAGACUGCCAUUUUGAUAAACAGCAGAUUAAUCAAAUGAAAGCUGAGGUUCAUCAAGUUUGGCAACAAGAGGAGCAAUACUGGGCUAUGAGAUCGCAGGUUCAUUGGCUGCGUUGGGGAGAUAAAAAUACCAGGUUUUUUCACGCCACUACAAUUCAGAGACGGCAGAAAAAUCAUAUCAACAUGCUGCAAGAUGUAAAUAACCUCUGGAUUCGUGAACCUUCGCUUCUUAAAGUCAUGAUGAUCGACUUCUUCCAAAACUUAUACACUUCAGCUGGUCCUAGGAACUUUGGUCCUAUUCUAUCACAAUGUCCCCAAACAGUUACUGCUAAAAUGAACCUCAAUUUAACAGCGGAGGUAACUACGGAAGAAAUUAAAACAGCUGCCUUUCAACUAGGGGCUACUAAGGCCCUCGGACCCGAUGGUUUCAAUGGCUUGUUCUAUCAUCGUCACUGGGAUAUCUUGGAAGCUGAUUUAGUCACUACCGUGAAAGAUUUCUUCUCAACCGGACUGCUACCACCAGCUUUAAACAAAACCAUUAUCAUCCUGAUCCCUAAAGUUAAUCAAGUAGAGAGGUUAGAUCAAUAUAGACCGAAGUUUAUGCAACUUUCUUUAUAAAAUCAUCUCCAAGAUUUUGGCUAACCGUCUCAAACGCUGGCUCCCUAACCUCAUUUCCCAUGAACAGAAUGCUUUCAUUGCUAGAAGUCAAAUCCAAGAUAGUAUUUUGAUCGUGCAAGAGGUCUUACAUCAGCUGAGAAUAAGGGAGCGCAAAAAAAAAAUUUCAAGGGAUCUUAAAGUUGGAUAUGCUCAAGGCAUAUGAUUGGGUUGAGUGGGAUUUUUUGGAGGAGUAUCUUCACCACCUGGGGUUUGAUCCUAGAUGGAUACAAUGGAUAAUGCAGUGUGUCACCACAAUUUCCAUUAGUAUCAAGCUAAAUGGUGACACUCUCCCUUACUUUCAGCCAUCCAGGGGCCUACGGCAAGGUGACCCCCUUUCUCCUUACCUAUUUAUCAUGCUGGCUAAUCUUCUCUCUACACUAAUUACACAAGCAGUAGACAUGGGGAAUCUUAAACGUAUUAGACUAAACAGAUGGUGUCCUACUCUGUCUCACGUACUUUUUGCUGACGAUGCCAUCUUUUUCCUUGAUGUAAAGCUACUUGAAUGUCAAAAUCUUUCCAAUAUUCUAUAGCAAUAUUGUCUAGCCUCUGGUCAAACUAUCAACAGGAAUAAGUCAGGUCUUUUCCUUAGUAAAAACUGCCCGCUGAGUUUACAAGAGAAUAUGUCUAUGGAUUUGAGAGUUCCUUUAAUGCAGAAAGCUGGGAAAUAUUUAGGGAUACCGUCUGAUUGGGGUGCUUCCAAAAAAGAUAUGUUUUCAUGGAUUAUGGCUCGAGUCAAUGCAAAGCUAGCAGGAUAGAAAGAGAACCUUAUUUCCAAAGGGGGUAAGGAAAUUCUAUUAAAGACAGUGGUGCAAGCCCUCCCCCAAUAUGCAAUGUCCAUAUUUAAACUACCUAUUUCUAUCUGUAAAGCUAUUGAACAGCGGAUAGCAAACUUUGGUGGCAGAAUAGUAGGACAAAAUCUAGGAUCCACUGGAAAAGCUAGGAAGUUUUGAAAGAAUGCAAACAUAGCGGAAGUAUGGGAUUCAGAGAUCUAGUUACCUUUAACAGAGCCCUCUUGGGCAAACAAGCGUGGAGACUUUCUCAGCACACCCCUUCCCUAUGGACUUCUCUUUUUAAGGGCUUAUAUUACUAUUCCAAGGAUUUCUAGCAUGCCGAUAAGGGACAGCGACCUUCCUGGGGUUGGCAAAGUAUACUCCUAGGAAGAGACUCCAUCAAAGAACAUAUGAAGUGGCAAGUGGGUAACGGAGAAACAAUUAGAGUCAGACAAGACAGAUGGCUGAACAACGAGAUCAUUCGGGACCAGCACCCAGCUAUGAACCCGAGAAGGUUGCUGGUUUCAUCUCUUCAACACAACUCAAUUGGGAUAUUCCAAGACUAGCAUUAUGCUUUGAUACUCAGACGGUUAAAGAAAUUACAGCUAUUCCACUUAAACCAGAUUCUAACCCAGACCAACUACUCUGGAAUGGAUCGCAUAACGGCAAAUAUUCCGUUAAGAGUGGCUAUUAUCACAUCAGACAACCAGAGACCAAACCAAACACUACCAGGGCUUCCUCAUCCUACACCACUCCUCCUUGUCAUUGGCAACAAAUUUGGAAAAUAAACACAGCUCCAAAAAUUAGAACAUUCCUAUGGUCUAUAUGUCAUAAUGCAUUAUCAACAAAGGAGAAUCUCUUCAGAAGACAUGUCAUAGAUGACCCAAUAUGUCCCCUCUGCACAUCUUGAGUCCCAGAGUCUAUGGAACAUUUAUUCUUGGCUUGCCCUACAUCUCAACAGGUUUGGGCUCAUCCUGAUAUACACAUUUCAGUUUCUGCAUAUCGUACACACCGUAUGGAUGCAUGGUUAGCUGAUCUAGUUCAAAGUACAGCACAUUUACCUGGGCUGGAGACGAUUGCAUCCAUUCUUUGGCAGCUGUGGAAGGCACGGAACCUUUAUGUUUUUCAAUGUAAGCGUUUGAGCCCUCAAAAUAUUGUCGAUUCCACACUCACAUUAGCAAGGUUGUAUCUCUCCUCUGCACCGGGGCCUCUGGAUCCAAGAAUACUCGCCCCGAAUCCUCAUACAUGCUGCAUUCCCCCCGCUCCUGGCUUCGUUAAAGUUAAUAUGGAUGGGGCUUUUCCAUCUGGCCCCCUCAGGGGUUCAAUCGCUUAUCUUUGCCGUGAUCAUAAUGGUUCCUUACUCGACGGCAGCUCCCAACUUGUCGCUGCCUCCUCCCCCUUUCAAAUAGAAAUACAUGCUCUCUUAUUCACUCUCAACUCUCUGAUAGGGCAGGGAAUGGCUACCACUAACCUGAUCCUUGAAUCGGAUUGCUUGGAGCUUGUAGAGGCCAUGAAUCUCCGCCAACAAUCAUCCCCGGAAUGUUGAUUGCUGAUCGAGGAUGCCAUUGCUCUGCUUCGUCGAUGCCCUAAUUUGCGACUUCUUCAUUGCAGGCGUGAAGCCAACUUGCCGGCUGACUAGGCUACCAAGGCUCAGGGCCGUGGAGUUCUAGGCUCCAAUUGGGCUUUUCUUCCACCCCCUUUAAUCUUCUGUGUAAUGAUGCCCUCUCUAAGGGUUGUACUCUUUUCAAAUCUUGAAUGUUAAGUUAUGCUUCCGACCAAAAAAAAACAAAAAAACAAACAAACAUCCUUUCCCAAAUGACCGUUUGAACGAUUUCAAUCCGCACGCAUGAGACAAAACCUCAAUUUCAUGGCAGAGUCAGCAACUUCUCGGUGCCGUCAGGCUAACUGUCAAUAACAAUGAACUUUUCCAGCCAUGUAACCCAAAUUCAGCGUGAGGAGCCACCGAAAGGUCAAGUUUGGUCUUUUUGUCUUUAACCGAUUUUUUUUUGCUUAAAAAUUUUAGUUUAGGUUUUGUGCAAUCGUUUUGCAACACUCAUUUUAAACCAAAAAAUAAAGAAAUUCAAACACACUUUAAAAAUGUCAAAAUAGGACAUAAAUCCAUUUUUUGACUCACAUAUUUUGGGGUGGGCUAUAAAUGAAUUGUUCGACAUCUUCGACGUGUGCUCUUCUGGUUGCUUUGGACAAAAUUGUGUUGGACCGCUAGAUAACGUUUCAUUUUUACUCCUUCGGUGAUUCUUGAACCGAUCUCUCUGUUAAUAUCAAAGAAUGAAAUGCCUCUAUUCGGGUUGCCCGACAAGAUGACCUUGCAAAAGGUUUUGUUUCUGGUACUUUACAAUCCAAGAUGAAGAUGCACAUGGAUCGGGAGGGAAAAAGUAGACAAAUUAAUAGAAAAUGACCGGAUUUAGUCGUCGCGUGGAGUGGACGUCCUCGCGAACCACCCAGGCCUGUCGGUGGGGCCCACCGUUUUUGCACGAAGUUUUUUUUACUCAUAACUGUCAGUUCAUGACCCUAAAAAUCCGGGGCUGGUGCGUCUCCUUUACAAAGUGCGUUCCAGCGGUUCUUGUUAUACACGGUGGAGCCUACAUUUUUAAACUAGACGUUCAUCCCUUAAAUGAAUGAUCCGUGCUAAAGUGGCGAUACUUGAUGUAGUGAUGGCAUAAAGUAUUGAGCUCAUAAUUAUGGUCAUUAUUCAAUUUGUCAGUACUUUUCCUGAUAUAUAAUGUAUGGUUGUCAUUUUAUCUAUAUGACUUUUAUUUAGAGUGAAAACUUUUUAUGAUCACGUAGCACUAAGUUUUUCGCAGCUAAUACUUCAAGACGGGAGGAAAGAACAAUAGUUUCUUUGUAAACUAAGAAGAUUACUCGACUAUUUUGGUUAGUUUUGACCUUGAAACGAUCACUACCUCUACGCCAUAUUCACUGCGUCACUAACAAAGAGGAAAGAGGGAAAGCUGGAGGCGAGAUGGGAGGAUGAAGUGCAAGAUAGAGCUUGAUUGAUAAUUCAAAAAAAUCUUACAAAAUAUCCACAUUUCAUAUGUCCACAUUGAAAAUCUAGAGACGUCUUCAAUUUUCAGGCGACUUCCUAAGGCAAUUACGCCCCCUGGCGGUUCCACCUCCAUGUUCUAAUUCAAAAGCUACUGGUAGUUGAGAGGGUUCAACUCCCUCAUUGUUCAAUUUGUCUAUGUUUUUUUUUUUUAAUGAUAUAUAAUACAUAGUGUUCGUUUUGUCUUACGACAUUUAUGUGGAGUGAAGACUUUUUGUGACUAUGUAAAGCCAAGUUUUUCGCAAUUUACACUUCAAGGCAAAGGGAAUCUAUAGUGAUUUCCUUGGAAACCAAGAAGAUUACUCGAUUAUUUGAAUGGUUUUGAGCUAGAAACGAUCACUUGAUUGUCUCUACGCCAUAUUUAUAGUGUCAUUGUUAAAGAGGAAUGAGGGAAGGCAGGAGGCGAGAUGGGAGGACGAAGUACAAGAUAGAGCUUGGCCGAUAAUUCAAAGAAUCUUUCAAAAUAUCAUACAGUUAAUACGUCAAUGUUGGGAAUCUAGAGAUGCCUUCAAAUUUCAAGUAUAUACAUUCGGUGGUGGUUGUAAUUCUAAAUUUACUCUCUAUAUAAUAAAGAAAAGAACAUGAGGAAGCCUUCUCGAUAGCUCAAGGAGAAAAAAUAAGCAAGUUAAACUAGACUUAGGCUCCCUUUAUUUCGUGAAAAAUGAAAAAAUUGGAAAAUAUUUUCUUAAAAAGAUUGUUUAUGUCGCUUGAAAUAAUUAGUCAAUAAAAUUUUUUUUUAUUAUCGGCAACAAUUUAUGUAUAAAUAAUUUCGUGAACAAUGAAAAUAUUUUUCAUUAUUUCAUUUUAGCAAGUGAUAAAAGAGAAAUAAAUGGAGCCUUACUAUAGGGUAGCUUUUUGAACGAGUUUGGACGCAUGUGAACAUGUUGAUUACUUACUCCAGCAUCUAACACGAACACAUGAUUGAAUUGAAUUAGACAUUAAUGGCCAAAUUGCUCAGGAAUGAGUUUGGGCGCUUUUGAAAAAGUAAAGCAAGUUCUUUGCUAGAAUGGAAAAGUCAAAGCGGCAUCUUCCUUUUUCCCCCAUUAAAAUAGAAAAUUGCAAGCGAUAUAGCGAAAUAAAUGGAGCCUUACUAUAGGAUAGCUUUUUGAAUGAGUUUGGACGCGUGUGAACAUGUUGAUUACUUACUCCAGCAUCUAAUGCGAACACAUGAUUAAAUUAGACUUUAAUGGCCAAAUUGCAUAGCUUUUUGAAUGAGUUCGGGCGCUUUUGAAAAAGCAAAGCAAGUUUUUUACUAGAAUAGAAAAAGUAAAGCAAGUCGAACUAGACUUUCCAUUAAAAUAUAAAAGUUAAAAUAUAAAAGUUAAAGCGGCCUCACUCAUGUUUUGGGGGCUAGCAAACGUUAAGAAUGAAUUAGUUGGGCCGCUCUAAUUGUCUCUUUGCACUUGUAAGCCCCCAAAGAAUGACCAGCAUCUUCCUUUUUCCCAAAUGGAUUACUUAUGAAAUAAGUGCUACGAAUGCAAACGUCUCUUAUUGGGUGUCUGGCAAAUAUACCAAGCAUUGAUCGUUUUUUUUUUUUUUUCUAUGGAAUGAGAAGCUUAGGCUGCACAUGACAAAAUUUCUGAAACAGAAAUUGAUUUAUAGCUAGAAAUUGAUUUCUCAAUUUCUAUUCCCCGGACAAGUUUCUGAGCAAAGCAACCCGUUUGAUAACGACUCAAAAUUUCUAUUUCUGAAAUAGAAAUCCGUUUGAUAACAGAAUAAAAUUUCUAUAUCAUGAUGGUCACUUUUAUUCUUUUUCAAAACAAAUCCAAAUCAAGUUGUUUCUCAAAGAAAGCUGAACACAAGUACUUAAAACACAUGAAAAAGAAAAUAUCGCGAGAGAGAGAGAUUUAUGAGCAAUUAUGGGCAGUCUCAAACCUAGACACAGAAAGUACAUCUAUUCUUAUUGGAAUGUUACAAAAUUUUAGUAUGUUAUAGAAGAGACAUAACUUAACAUUUUUCGUGAAGAAACCUAAGCCUAUAUAUCUCGAUGUAUUAAGAGCAGUAAUUUGCUGUCUUCUUUCUUAAAAUUCUGCAGCAACUUCCAAAUUUAGUACCUAACGAAGAAAUAUCAUUUCACUACCUAAACCUUCACCGUUUGUUCUCAAAUUUUGAUAUGUUGUUCCCAAAGAGGUUUCCUACAACUUUCAUGAAGAGUUUAAUGUUCAAUUCUAUCUAGUAAAUUACAAAAAAUUCGUAGAACUACCUAAGGUUUUGUUGUCUUCUGCAGAACAGCUUACUAAUUCAAAGAGAAAUGCUAUCACCAAUACAUUUUCACAUAAAUCUUACUAUAACUAGAGGUCGAACCUAAUUUAGUUAACGUUCUCUUAAAUAAACUUGUUCUUUUCCUUAUCUGCAUCUUUAAAAUACAAAGCGACGCAUAACUAAAGGGUUUCCUUCUCUGUUUUCCAAAUAAUCAAUGUGCAGAUCACCCUAUGCCAGCAAACGAACAAAAUUCUAUCUUGUGUUUUGCAAACGAACACUGAAAUUUAUAAUAGUCUCCUAGUCCUGAACAUAGGGGAUCACAUGACCCAGAUGAUGUAAGGUUCUAAUGAUACAGUAGCAGGUCAAUGUAAAGUCAGCACUAAUUUAAUUACAUAGUAUGUUAGAGAGUUUUUUUAAGCAGAUUAACAAUGCUUAAGUUCCACAUACAAGGCGCAGAAUUGAAUGCAGUCACUACUAUUUGGUGAGUGCAUUAGCAGACUCCACUAUUUACAAGAAAAAAUUACAAAUUACUACAAUUAUCCUUAGCUAGAACUUCUUUCUUUAAGAUACAUACUUUCCUAUAUCUAUGUCACAAUAAACUCAUUAACGCAACAUUCCCUGGUCUUUGGGAUCCAAUACCAAAAUCUUCCAAUUAUUGCCUCUUUCAGAAACUAAGGACACAAACAUUCAUCUCUGUCCUUCAACUGCUCUACAUCGUAAAGUAGAAACUUAAUCAAGGAAAGCAUUUUUUCCGCCAUCCUGCAUUGGCCAAGAUGAGAAAUAGUCAAAUGGCAUAAGAGACAUGAAGGUCGACUAUGAGGGCACCAUUUCAUUGUCCCAUUGAGCUCUCCAAAAAUAGAAUAAAUCAACUAGUGUAAGCAUCCACAUUCAAUUAGAGCCAUUUAUAAUAAACCUGAGACACCGUCAAGCAUAACUCCAUCUUCCUCAUAAGCCCCAAUAUCCUUGGACAAAUUCACAGGUCAGAAGGACACAGGACCAAGGUCGUAAUGCAGAAGUCAAAUAACCAGAGGAAAAGAGCGCAUGCGGACGAAAGCCGAAACAUGAAAAGAGAGGCAAGAAGAGAAGGAUCGAUCGAACCUCGUGAGGAAUCACAAGGGAAAGUUCCAGAGAAGGCCACAAACGAACGCUGACGCGAGCAAAUUGAAUAAUGACGGAGAUGGGCGACGACGACUGGAGUUGUGGAAUCGAGAGCAAAAAAGGGAUGCGGAUAGAGGAGGCGGGUUCGACGGGACAAUCGGAGCAAAUUGGACGGUCUGAGGACGGCGACAGUGAGAUGAGCGACGAUCUGACCGGUAAGAGAACGGCGACGGCGACUGGAGUUGCGGAAUCGAGAGCGGAAAGGGGACGCUGACAAAGGAGGCGAGUCCGACAGGACGGCCGGAGCAAAUUGGAUGGUCUGAGGACAGCGACGGUGAGACGAUUUGACCGGUAAGAGGACGGCGACAACAUCGAAGUCGACGGCGAGGAUGGAUAGCUUCGGAGUCGACGGUGCUAGGGAUUUUGGUUGAAGUGAGGAGAAGGAGGAGUCGACGUCUGUGAAGAGAAGGGUGGAGAAAAGGAAAUAAUUUCUAUUUCUAUUUUAGAAACAGAGAAGCUACAAUUUCUAGCUUCCAAUUUUUCCUCCAAAAUCAAUUUUUGAAAUAGAAAUCUAUUUCAAAAAUAGAGAAAUCAAAUUGCGUUACCAAACGGAUUUAUGUUCCAAACCUGUUCCAGGAAACAGAGAAAUAGAGAAAUCAAGAAACGGAAAAUUUAUUAUGCAUAGCCUUAUUAAGUAAACUAGCACUUGCAUUGUUUCUUCCUGAAAUGAGGUACAUUGUCAAGUUGCUGAGCCCAUGGGAUGUCGCGACCUACCCUGGGAGAAAGGAAUAGGUUUAAGGGUAUUGCUUAAAGAACAAGCUUAUGCCUCAUCAUUAGGCACAGGCUCUCUCAAGCCCAUACCUCAUGCGACAUAAGUAUUCAUAAGAAUAUGUAAUAAGAAGUCAUUACUAGCCUAUUUGAGUCAAUUAUAAAUCAAAUGAGACAUGAGAGUAUACCUCACUUCUUAUGCAACUAGAGAAUCUAGGAUCGGAGACUUGAUUACACUAAUUAACCAAUUAGUGCUCUUUCGGUACCUAAUUUUGUUCAUUUAGAAUAAAAAAAUAUUUUUGUUAGGCAGUUUGGAUUAAUUUUAAACCAAUCCACUAACAUGUGAAGUAAUCAUGCAGGUGCGCAAUCAUUAAAAUAACAAUCAAUAGACAAUGAAAACGUUAAAUAAAUUACAUGGAAGAGUAAAGAUUUAACAUUAUCAAAUAGGGAGCAUGCCAUCUCUAACUAAGCUAAAGGAAUGCCAUAGUCAACAUAAUGAAAGUGCACAAUCAAGGGCAUUCGUUUUUAGAGAUAAUAAGAACUCUAUGAUAAAGCCCUAAAAGCUUGUUUAAUUUUGAGCACGUUAUUCACCAAGGAUUUUCACGCAUUUAAUGAGAAAGACUCCCCAAAAAGACCUUUUAAGCUAUUUUGGAGAAAUUAAUUUUUUUUGAAAAUUUUCUUGAAUUUUUUGGGAAUUUUUUAAAUGCAUUUUUAAUACUUUUUCGAAUUUUCAAAAAAAAGAUUUUUUUAUGGAUUUUCUGAUUUUUUUUUCAAAAUUUUAAUGUUUUUCCGAACUUUUUAAUUUUUUUUAAUGAUUUUCUCAAAUUUAUAAUUUUUCAUUGAUUCUCAAAUUUUCUAAAUUUUUUUAUUAUUUCCUGAGAUUCUUUAUCAUUUUCUGAAUUUUUAAUAUUUAUUAUUAUUAUAUUUAGGGCACGGGCUCAGACUGGGUUUUACGCGAUCCGGCCCAUUAGCUCGACCCAAACCCGGAUCCGACCCGCGUCGGAUUAAAACCGAUUUUUAAUAUUUUCAUAUCAUUUUUUUUUGAAAUUUUUUUCUUUUUCUUCUUUCUUUUGUCUUUUUCCUACUUCGUCAUUUUCUGGUUCAUCUUCUUCCUUUAGCUUCCUUCUUCCCCGAAGCGUUUUUCUUCCUGCCACUCUUCGACCCGAACCAGCAACCACCACUGAAGUAUGCCGCUGCCAUCCCUCAAGCCGCCGCCGAGCCUCCACCGCCGACGGGUCAUCUACCCCGACCGACGUCCACCAACUCCGGCCGCUCAUUCCGGCGACCUCAAAGUUUAACGAAAUAAAAUCCUACGGAUCCUAAAUUUCUAAAACCAACCAUCCAUCAACCAAACAAGUACGAAAAUGUUAAUAUGAGGAAAGAAUAGCCUAACUGGGGUGGCCUCGAACCACAAGGUGUGCUGGUGAGGGGAAGGUUUCCGGCGGAGAGGAUGACUCACGGCCAACUCAACAACGACCGAUCGUUUCCACAAAAUCGCAUGAAAACAAAUAGAAAAACCCGAAAGGCAGACGAGAUUCAAACAAUACGAGAGAAAAAGAAGUCGUUCUUGAGAUUCAACGACGAACGUGAUUCGACCCUCUCUUAGGCAUUUUUGUCGAACACGUGAUAUGCAGACUUCACAAUAGCAUUCCGAUUCGGCUUCUGAAUGAAUCCUAGCCUAGAAACGAUGCACUCAGACUUAAAACACCAUUACUAGCAGAAAAAUGGCUUUGUUUCAUCAAGAUUUCGUCAAAAGCAGCAAUCAAUUAGAGCGUGAACAUGGGAACUUUUCGGUCUUUUUUUAGACAUUUUAGCAAACAUGUGAUGUACAGAUGCAAAAUUUGAGUUUUCAAUUCCAAACCAACACCAUUUCCCGCCAAAACGUGGCCUAUCAUGCUCUAAAAGUCAUCAUCCAUCGCUAACCUAUUUCAGUUUCGCAUACUCAAAAGCUGACUUCAUCAACUGGGUUCAAUAUUAUUGAAUCCCCAAUAGCACGAAGAGAAGAAAAAAAAAAGAAUACCUAAAGGAAGCGUAAUCCCUGCUUAGCCAGAAAUGGUAUCACUGCUGCCACUUGUUCGUCGGCAAAGCUCAAGAAACGGCCGGCACUCCUCCCUUCCUCCGGUGAACUACCACGCUCGAUGGUGCUCGUCGCUCGACCACGAACAAGGGCGGUGACCGACAGUAGCCGCUGGGGCUCGAGAUGAACUCCGGGGAACUCCUUUCUCAACUCCCUAGAAAACUCCCUCUCUCUGGAUUGCUCCCCCAAACCUGUCUCUCGGCCAAAACGUGUAGAAAAAAUAGAAACCCCACUUUGCUCUCUCUGUCUCUUUCUAAACCGAGCUCCCUCUCCCUCGGUUGCUCUCCCUCAGCCGAAGAAGAAGCCCCUCAAAUCUCUCUCUCUCGCCCAAAACCUCCCCUCUCUCUCUCUCUCUCUCUCUCUCGGCCACUCACCCUUUUGAGGGCACCGGCCAGAGCGCAUGGCUUCUGCCAUCACCAGCUCGCUGGUCGGCCUGGCCCCGACCCACGGAUCGCGCUGCCCUCUGCUGCUCGCCAUCCUCCUCCUCUCUCUGACCUAUACUCUCCUUUUUUGCAGAGGCGGGACCGGCGAGAGGAGGUAGAAGACCAGCACGCAGGCUGGGCUUGGAGAAAAGGAUAUGAAGCUGGGGUUGGCCCGGGCGAAAAGACACACAGAGGAGAGCAGAAGAGAAAAGGACCGGGCCAAGCCCAGUCGGCUUUUCUUUUCUUUUCUUUUUUUAAAUAAUUUUCGAUUUUUUCUCAAAAUUCUAGUAAUUAGUGAUAGUAAUGCUAAUGCUCCUAACCUCUAUAUGUGAUGCAAUUUAGUAAAAAGUUACUUUUUUGGCUAGGAUUUAAAAAAUCAUCCAUAAUUUUCUAUGCGAUUAAGUGACAAAUGAAAUAAUAAAAUUUAGGCGUCAAUACGCUAAUCCAACGAAGUUAUGAGAGUGGACUGAGAUGGAGAUUUUCCCUGUGUAAAGUAAAAUUCUCAUUCCUUUGCUUUUUGUUUUAGAAGCGUAAGCAAUUGUCACUGUGUUAUGCACAAGAAUAGACUUUGUGAAAGCAAGGAAAAAGAUAGAAAGAAAAGAGCAUAACAGAUCACAUUAUACUAACCUACAACCCCGUGAUAUGCACAAAAAUAUACUUGUGAAAUAGAUUAGAAGGAAUAAUUAUUUUAGAAGGAUACUAAAUCGUUAGCAUUAGAGAUUGUCGUUAUAUUGAAACUGAUUAUAGGCCCCUUGGACUUUAGUUUGGUUAAAGCGGAAAAUUCAAAGGCGAUUUUUUUCAAAAGAAUGUUAGGAUAGAUGUCACUCAUAGGGAGUGCUUCGUGUAGGUUACCCAUUGAAAGUGCUUUGGAGCACGGCUUUACAUUUAACUAACAAAAUAGAUUCACUAUAUCUAUUUUAGAUCUAUACAUUAAACAUUAUUGAUUUUAGAAGCUUAAAUCUAAGCUCUAAAAAAUAAUGGUUUCUUUUUCUGCUUGAGCGCAUCAUCAAUUUGCUUUUCAUUAACUUGUGAAUUUUAAUUAUAAAACAAUAAAUUUAAUUAUGGGACACUCAUGUUCUUACUUCUUCUUCUUCUUCUUUUCAACUUUUGGCCCAAAUGUUCUCAAUCCUAUUGGCUUUGCAGUUUUUUUUUUUUUAAUAUAUUAGACAACUUAUUAUUAUGAUAAAAAGUUUAAUUAUGGGAUCUCAUGUAUUGCUUAUCUUUAAUUUUUCUUGAGCCAAUCUGCAAUUUUUGAAAGGAAGAAAGCAACACAGAAUAUGACAUGGUUGAGAAAUUAAGCAAAAAGGAGAAAACAAAAAGAAAAGUGAGUUAGGUGUCGAUAAAAGCACAUCAACUCCUCGGUGGCUCCCUCUCCAUGCACCAAAAUACUUACAUAAUAUAUUACUAUUUAAUGGGCUGUGUUUUCCUUAUUCCAUAUUAUACUUCUGAUUGGUGGGUUAUAAAUACGAAUAGCACACAUACUUAAUUUUAGUUAAGUUUACAAUUCAUAACUUAGAAACCAAUCUAAGACAUAGUUAAGAAUCAUAUACGAAGAACUAGAGAUUUGUUAAGGUGAACUUCAAAAGCAAAUAGUUGUGUAAAUUCCCACGUGAAUGUGCCACGUGACUCAACCUCAUGCGUGGUUUACCCAUUUUAUAUGUCUGCGCGCUUGCGCUUUGAUGGCAUCAACGAGUAUUGCAGGCAAAUACAAAGUCUGCUAGCUUCAAAUGCAGGCUCCAAUAGCCUCGCCUAGCUCAAACACAUGGGACUUAGCUGGAGUUAUUUUCAGGCAAUGCAUUUGGCAGAUUUAGUCUAUAGAAGAAAUCAAUAAACUAUGCGGAAAUAACGAGAUAUUUAUCUAUGUCAGGAAGCAAGAGUAGUUUGAGCUCUAGGACGAUUUUUGCACAACCUAUAUAUAUAUAUGGACUUAUAUACUGGAGAAGGAAGAAAAACAAAUAAGAAGAAGGGGCUGGUGCCAUGAGACAAAUUUGACCAGCUUUGAGCAAAUUAAAUGGUCCUCUGUUGGAACGGUGGAGUUUGAACUGAUAAUGCUGUGUCUCGGUCCAAUUCUUCUAUAAUUUCCUGUUUCAAUUUUGUUCGACUUGAAUUUGUGACCUUUAUUCCACGGCAAGUUUAACAUAGUUAUUGUCUCAAAUGGAUUAUGUCUUCGCGAAAGCACGAUUUAAAGACCUGGAAAAGCUCGAGAAAUUCAAUGCUCUCAACUCCAGGAGAUGGAGCACGAAGAUGUGCUACCAAUUGACCGUUGCUCAGGUUGGCUAUGCUCUAAGCACUAGAUGUACGAGAUGAAUCUUCCAAUAGGGAACUCAACGAGGGUCCAAAGAAGGGAAUGGAAAAUGACCAAAAUAGCUUAUUCAUGAUCCCCAACGCCAUGGACAACUCUCUUUUGGACAUCCUCACACGCACUCGAAGACUUAUGAUGUUUGGAAAGGCGUUCGAUAGAGGCACGUGAAUGAGAAUGCUGGUAACAUCUUUCUUGGUUAACAAGUACCUUGAUUAUAAAAUUAUCAUUCUAUUCCUAUCACUGAUCAAGUCAAUGAAUUGAAUGAUAUUGCAAUUGCGUAAGCAGAUGCGGAUGAAUCAAUCUUUAACACUUUUCUCGUUUGUGUUAUUGUUGGUAAACUUCCAUCUUCACAGUAAGGCUACCAAAAGCUUUUAAAGCACUAUAAAAAGUCUUUUGAGUUCGCAUCAAUCGCUUCAAUGCAUUCAAGUUGAAAGUCAGGCUAGAAAUCAUGAUGUAUCUGAAAACCAAGCAAAGAACGAACAAUUUCAUGAUGAUGAGGAACCGGCAUCUAGCAAUUUAGGAAACUUUUUGAACAAGACUUGCUUUCGGAGUGGUAAAAUGGAUCAUGUGGCUCCAUUUUUCGGUGGAGGACAAUGACGAUGGGGUUUCUCAUGGUGAACGAUGAUGAAGGUUGGUGGAUGGACUCCGGCGAAACUUGGCAAUGUUAUUCUCCACAGGAUAAAUGAUAUUUACGCACUUUUGGCAACGCAUCAACGAGUCACGUGAUCCGUCGAUGUUAGGUCACCAAAUGUCAAGUGUCACGCAAAUAUUAUCCCAAAGACAAUGAAGGAAUUCAAGAAGCUUGAUACGAGAUCAUGUGUGCAUAUGCCCCAUGAAGAGAUGACAUGUUCCAGGAGCACAUAAUAGCACAAGGGCAAUAACUCUGUUAAUGAUUUAGCGCAUGGCAUUGACUUAAAUUUUGAUAUCUUUUUGUAAGAUUUAAGAGGAUUUCGGCAUUUGCAAAUUGAGUUCUUUGGUACUGGCAAAGUGAAAGACAGAAAAAAAACUUAGUUCUAUGGCUUUCUUCGACACUCAACUUAGUUUGAUGGUUAAAAAUUGUUAAAUGUAGAUUUUUGACAUUCCCAAUACCUCAUUUAUUCUGAACUUGUUCAACCUAAUAUUGCCAACUUAAUAGGUAUAAAUUCCCUCUUGAAUGUGAAGUAGAACCCAUCCAUUUCCAGUGAAAUUAAGUGAGAGUAGGGAGAAUUGAAAUUAAUUGAUUUCGUAUGAUAUUAAGGAAUGAAAAGUCAAAAUCAUCAUAACUGAAGGUACCUUUUUUUUUUGGGUCGAAUAACGGAGGUACUUUAUAAGAGCAGAAAAUAGAAGUUCCAUCCAAAGAGUAAUUUCACGAUUACAAAAUAUGCCAUACUCUCCUACAACCGGGUUGGAGGAGAUUCCCUCCGCUUAUACCAUUGAUUGGUGGGUUAUUGCUACGACAUCACCAAUAUUCAAUUUUGAUUAAAUUUACAUGUAGCCAAUGUCCAUAACUUAUAAUCCAUUAAUCAGAGAUAUGGUUGAAAAAAAUUCCGUCCUUCUAAAAUUGACUCAUCAAGUGGUGUCUCAAAUGGUGCAUUGGUCUUUGAUAGGUGGGCUUAAACGACCAACAUAAAUUUUAUAAACACAAACUUUGCAAAUCAGUUUUGCUAACUACUCUUUGAGAUCAAUAAUCGUUACGCCAUCCCUUUCACGUAGACGAACUUAGAAACGACAGCAUGGCGAACAAGCUAUUGCUAUCUAAGAAUGCUGUACAAUUUUGUGUAGACCAAAAGACAACUUCGCACGCAUAAACCUUAUAAGCAGCCGUUGCUGCUGUCCAAUAUGUUGAGUAUAGUCGACGGAUUCAGUUUUGGAGUUCGUGGCGGUGGUAUUGCAACCUGAUGACGGUGGCCGUGGAGGAGCGACGCAGCAAAAGUGAGCAGCUAUGGAGCGAAGAAGAAGAAAGACAAAAGGGCAGAAAGGAACAAAUAUGUGACAGGCUGAGUUUAAAAGAAUGAUGCAACAUUUUUCACCUAGUCAGAUCGUACGCAUCGCUAAUAAUUUUGUGACAUGGCGCAUAAGUCUCUCAUUGAGCGAAUUCUAGAAUGUUGAGAUAAUUAUUAGGUAAAGAUAAGUUUAGGUAUCGUAAUAAAUAAAAGUCGAAGCACUUGCAAUGUCAUUAUCCAAAAAAUGACGGCAAGCGAAUAUGUUAUCCAUUGUGAACGAAAUCAAGUUCACGAGGUUACCUAUUCUAUUUCCUACAUAUCAAAAAUCGAGCUCACCAAAUUUUUCGAAGAAUGGAGCUUAAGACCUCUAUCUCAUGAGCCUUCGCACCCUAAGGAGAGAAACCAGUAAUGGCAAAUAUGUCGGGGAGGGUGAUCCAUAGAGGCCCAAUUAGCAGCGGAAGACCAGAAGGUAAAAGGAAAACCAAACAAGCCAGGUUCUAGGAUUAAGUCGAAGCAAGAAAAUUCCAAAGCGAAGUCAACUUGGGCUUGUUCCCAGAGAUGUACCAAGUGAUGUUUUAGCCUUAGGUACCACUGAUAUAGGCCCUGUUUGGUUCAGCUUUGGAGAUGAGCAUUUGGACUCUAAAGUCCCUUGGCCAAAUGCAAAUGUGUUUGGUUCGAGUUUUUGAGUGACUUUGGCAAGAUGCAAUUGCAUCUCCAAAGGGGUCUAAGGGCCCUUAGGCCAAAGGAGGUCCGGAGGUCCUUUGGAAACUUGCAUUUCCGGAAUGCAAGUUCCGGUUACUAUUCACUUCGCGGUUACUGUUCAUCCGCGAGGAAAACCACCGCACGGAGGCCGACGACCGCCGGCCAAGGGGGUUGUGCACGCCGGCGACGCGCCGGCGACCGCCGCCUGAGGGUCGCCUGACCCCGGCGACCGUCGCCGGACCUCAGGCGACGCCUGGGCCGCCCGAUUCAGGCCAUCAGUGGCCUGAAUCGCGCGACCUCAGGCGACGGUCGCCGCGCGACCGCGACCUUAGGCGGUCGUCGCCUGGGUCGCGCGAACCCAGGCGACGGCCACCUGGUCGCCUGAGGUCGCGCGACCCAGGCGACGGCCGCCUGGGUCGCGCUACCCCGGCGACCCUCCGGAGGCCAGAUCCGGCCAUCCAGACCGCCGGAUCCGGCGGUCCGGCCGCCAGAUCCGGCGGUCUGGUGGCCGGACUUCAAAAAAAAAAAGUGUAUUUUUGCUUUUUUUAAUUUAAUAAAAAUUAAUUACAAAUGCAAAUUUUACCAAACGGUAUUUUGGCCAAAGUUGUUUUUCAAUGCAAAUUUUACCAAACGAUAUUUGCAUUUCGGAAAACCCCCUUCACCCAAAGGUAUUUGCAUUACUGCAAAUACAUUCCCCAAAAGCCGAACCAAACGGGCCCAUAAUUUAGUAUCAAGAACUGGAAAAAGUCUAAAUCUACGGUUUCUCUUCGACCAAAUAUAUACUAGAAUGAAAUCCUGGUGAAUGGGAAGUAAGGACCACGAAAAUCUAAUCAGAGCCAUCCUCGGGGGCAAAAGAACACUUGGAGUACCAAAACUUGGCACGGGGUCAUUUAAUUGCUAUUUUUUUUUUUGAAAAAUGAAACACCUAAGUGCCAAGUUCGACGAAGGUAGCCAAAAAUCCUACGUGGUAAUUUUUUAGUAAUAUAACUCGUUUACGUGGCACGCCGAAGAGCUAAGUUAGUAACAAAGAAUCAAAAUGACAUCAUUUUGUUUUUUUUUUUAAUUUUAAUAUUAUUAGAUUAAAAUAUUUACAUUGAAAAAAAGGAGGAGGAGGAGGAGGCAAAAGGCGAGGGCUAAGCUAUCACCGCCUACAAUCUUCAUUUUUUAAAAUUAAAUUAAAUUAAUAUUUAUAUUAAAAUUUUAGCCAUGUCAGCAAAAUAAUGUCGCUUUUGUACUUGUCUAGCUAUGUCAGUGUGCAAAAUGACAUCGUUUUACACUUAUCUCACCAAAAAAUUAUUACGUCAGCAUUUUGGCCAGAUUUUCUCGCCGUUAGCACUUAACUGAUCAAUUUUAUUCAGAUUUUGACACUUAGGUAUCACUGUCCUAACUUUUGACAGUUAAGUAUCCCCUCGUGCCAAGUUUUGGCACUCAAGAAGUCCAAAUGUCCAUCUUCGGGGUUGUCCAAAAAUUGAAGAGAGAGCUUGCCUUACUCUUCCAACUCCUGAAGACCACUGAAGCCAGCAAUGUAUGUCUCGGCAUGAUAAUUGAAGAAACUGGGAGCUUUGACAGUCGAGUUGGAGGAAAAGAGAGAACUAUGGUUGAACUAUGGAAUUUGAAACGAGAAAAAUUUGGGAGAAAAGGUUGAAGGCGAUGGAGCAUGCAAAAGAUGAAGAUGGAAAGAUAAAAGUCAAGGAUGCUGUCGAAGUCCUCUCUCUUGUCAUGGAAGCUGCUUUGCUUGCCGGAAGAUACCCCCACAAGCCCUGAAUCUGUGUCCGCGUUCAAUAAAUACAUUAACUCGGAUCCCGUCACUCACUUCAUGAUCACCCCUGUCUGUUCUUGUUCUGUUGCAACAAAUGGGAAAAAGAAAACAGAAUACUGUAAAGUGCCCGUUUGGAAGAGUAAUAAACACUGACUAUGUAGUUCAAUUUUGAUUGCAUAAAAGGAACCUAUAUUGGCCAUGGAGGUCAAAACUCAAGAUCCGCCUACAAGUUCAGAAUGCCAAAUAAUGCAAAUCGAACAGACUACACUGUACUUCUGUACUUUAUUAACUAGUGCCAACAAUCUCAUGAUCAGGGCGAAGGAAUUUGAUUUUACCAUAAGGGUGACCAGAAAAGAAUUUGAAUCGUCGACAACCAGUUUUUUGGCAUCUAGUCAGCAACCAUCCUAGCUAUCAAAAAACUAUCUCUAGAACAAAAGAAUUUUGAAUGGAAAUUAUUGAAUAUCAACUUAUUUCAUGCCAAUUCCUGAGACUCCCAAUGUACGCUCUCUAUUUCAAAUGUUAGGAUGUCCAUAAGGAAGUUGCUGUCAAGAAUCAAUCCUCCAACAAAUCAGGAGGUGGAGGAUAUAAUUCCGGAGUCUUGAGUUGCCGAACUGUCAAGAACAACAAUUGCUAACUGCAUCCUUCAUAAACCGCAUCAACUCAAAUAGAUGCUUCAAAAACUGAAAAGCUAUCCCUAAGAAAGGCAUUAACAGCUCCCGCAAAUCGGUGCAACAUCAUGAGAUCAACUUGUUAUCCCCUGAAUCGAUUAUUAUCAAAUCAUGCCGCGAGGUGCCAGUGAGGAAUCUCCAUCUUUCAGAAUAGUCUUGACAGCAAAACUCUCACAAAACAAGAACAACGUCUAGCUCUGCUCUCAUUCCAGUGCCUAAACAAACAGUCCAUCUACUCAGUCACUUAAUCCUUAAUCUCACAUCGGAACAACCUUCACAUAAGGUUCUCUUCGGGUCAGAUGUCCCAGAUUGAAAAGACAUCGAUUGUUUUAUCGUAUAUAGCAUUCUAUACUGUAUCUUGCUAUUUCGAAGGUCUCGAACGGUCAUCAGUGGAACAAAUCCACCUUGCAUAGCGUAAAAUUUCUAAUGCU
rnacentral:lncRNA from 1 species